rnacentral:lncRNA from 1 species
AGAGACCAGACCUUCACUUCACAAUUACGAAAAACUCCAAGCUGCGAAGCCUGGCAAACUCACCUAAACCUUCCCAGAAAGAGAGCAAGCUUCCAAGAUACUGUCAUCAUCUUCCGGGCUGACCUAAGCCAAUUUAUAGCAUGAGACAUCAAUUGAUUCAGGAGCCAAGUAGGCCACUUGUACACCGAUAAAGCUCUGCUGGAAGAUUGCCUCGAAAACUGUCUGAACAAGUUGAACACGCCUCCGACAGAAAUUGACUGCUAACUCAUCUUUGUCAGCAAGACUCUGUAUCAAAAGACGGAUAUUCUAGGACUACCUUUGCCACUCGGGACUUAAAAGAGAAGUCAAAGGGGGCCAAGUAACUGCUACAAACACAAAGAAGGGAAGGAGCAAUUCCGGUGUGAGUUCGGUGCCCAGAGCGAGUCAAGUAUUUCUAGUGGUAGGAGUCCUGUUUCUAGCGUCAGUGAGUUACCCAGCUUUAAUAGAAGUGCAAGUCACAACUACGUAUAGGGGUGAGUUCAAAGAGCAUUAAGUCGAGGUCGGUUCAUCAAUUAUCUUUCUGAUAUUAGAUAGAAGAAAAGUGGUCGCCAAGUCACUACUAGAUUAGAGAGUAAGUAAAGCAAGGCUAGAAGCAAGGUGUGGCAUACUUUGAUGAGUAUUUUCAGAAUCAAGAUAGUCAAGUAGACCUUAGAGGCAGUGAGGACAGGCUCCUAGUUUUGAGUUUCAUUAUUUUCAGUAGUAGUGAAAUUACUGUUAGUAUAUUAGUGACAGGUUGAAAGCAAGACUCCUUAGGAACAGGUAUAAGUUGGUGCCCAGCAAAGUGAGGCUCAUAGUAAUUAGUUAAGGAGUAUAAGAUAGUCACGUAAGCCUAAGUUCUAUAGGGGCAAUUCGGAUUGAUUGUAUUAGUGGUAUUCUGACUUCAUUGAUUGGAUUCCCAGUAGUACCAGUUAAGCCCUUGGUAGUGCUAGCAUUAUUCUGAGUGGCAGGCGGACUUCCGUGUUUAGGUCAACAGCUUUAGGUACUCUACUUAGGAGUUUCAAUUCACACUUGCCCCAUAUAAAGAGAAUAGUUUCAAAUGAGCUCUAACAGCACUUAUGUUGGUUUGAUAUCCCCAUCAUGUAAUAAACCCAAUAGGGCUUAUAAUGCAUUGCAAGCCCAUACUUUCUUAAUACUGGGAAAGAGGAUACAGAGCGCAACUAACAAUAUGGAAUAAGGAAUGGGUUAAACAAUACAGAGAAUGGAAGCCAUGAAAGUCAGAUUACAAGCAGUGGGCGCGGGUACAGAUUUAGUAUGAUUGGUUCUAUUCUUUAUUAUAAGUAAGGGGAUUCUAGUCGUUGGUUUGAUUCCCUUGUUUUGAGUGAGAUCUAGCCUCUAGUAGUUGAUUCUGCCAUUAGUAGUUAUUCCAAUAGUGAUAUUUGAUAGUUAGGAAGGUAAGACUAGGGGCCAGGGGAUGUAGUCUAAGAUAUAGUAGAGCGAAGAUCCGAUCAGUAUUCAUAGAGUGCAGGUAAAGAAAGGCAGGCUCAAGCAGGGGAAUAGAAGCUAUGGUAUAGCAAAGUAGGGUUCGAGGCCAACAGCGAAAGAAGUCAAGAGUCCCCCCGACAGUAAGUCUGAUCUAAAGCAGAGUAGCAGCCUAAACCGUAUAAGCAAGGUCGUAAUAAGCACUUGAAGAGUUUGAGUUGAACUACAGAAUGAUAGCUAGGAAAGGCAGCUUUGGUGACAGCAGUGAAAUAGUUUUCUAUAGGAUCAAUUAUUGUUAUCAUUAUGCAGGCAGUUCUCUACUCUAGUGGGGCGCGUGCCGAGCCUUGGUAUCGGUGUUUUCCCUCUCAUCGGUAAUUGGUUCAAAGUCCUAUCAGCAGUGGAGUUGGGAAUGCAAUACAGGUACCGGAGUUAGGGCAGUGCCAGUUGGAAAGCAAGAGAUACCGAUGUAGACUAAGUAUUGGUAGGCCGAUAGACAGGAAAGUCAUACUUUAAGACGGGAGCGUCAGAGACAAACUCGAUUUCGGGGUCCGCUGUUUCUGUUUGAAAGUCAGGAUCUAGACCCGUAGCUACAGAGUUCAGGGCAGGCUCAAAAGCUUACAUAUCACUACCAAACAAGUAAGGCUUCCACUGCAGGAUUGAGUUCUUGUAUCGUAUUUUCAUUAUGAGAUAUAUGACUACUAUUCUCAGAACUGGUGUUUAUUCGUGAGUUGUGUUUGGGAGCGAAAGCCUUAGAAGCGAUAGUGAAAGCCUAAGUUUCGAGGCUUUCAGCACCUAUAGUGAGUAGUCAAAGCCUUCUAUAUGGUGUAACAUUCUCAUAGUUUGAGUCGCAUUCCUAUGAGUUUAAGCGGUUGUUGGGCACUGUUCCAUUCUUUCUAGGCACUAUUUCUGUCUUAUACGCUGUAGUGGAAUUCUCCUGUUUCUCUCCAAUGACUCAUUCUUUAUUUCCAUUAUGGGGCUUCUAGGUGUUUAGAGCCGGUAACGUAGUGGAGACCAGUAUUCUUACUCUCAUUCUGACUUAUGUCUUGAAUCCUUAUAUCCUCUUAAUUCUGACUUAUGUCUUGAAUCCUUAUAUCCUAUACUGGAAUUCUGCUUUUAUGGGGUGAAUUCUUACAUUAAUGAGUUGCUUUCUACCCCUGUGUGUUAGGUUAGCACAUCCUGUUACUAAUAAGUUAAAGGACCAUUUCUUCUUAUCCAGCUGUAGAUCUCGUUGUUGCCAUUUCCAUUACUAAUGACUCUACUAUCUUAUAUUAGCAUAUUCUACUAUCUUAUAUUAGCAUGUAUAUUAGCAUGUGUGUUUUCAUAUGAUAUUUGCUAUUAACUAGUACUGUACUACCGAUCCAAAGGAAUAAAUCUACUGAUAAUAAGAAGGAAGGGAGCGAAAGAGUGGAGAGCAAAGGGACAAAGACUUAGAGAUAUGAAAGAUAGGUGAAGAUCCAUGAGUUUGGGAAUCAAAGGUGGGCAAUGCAUACUUAACGGUAUGAGUGACAGGCCAGGUAGCAUUAGUUCAAUCUCUCAUUGUUCGUAAAAGAAUGAGAGAAGCGCCAGGACAAGCCUGUUUGCCAUCAGUUCGGUUCUCUUAUUCCCUUAUAGUUAAGCCCUUGUUUGAUUGAUUCUGUUUCUUUGAUUUGACUAUUCAAGGCCGUGGUUUCAAUGAGUUCUCUUAUUAGUGGUAGCGCUAUUCUUUAGCUAACACCCUGUUGCUUGUUUCAACCUGAUAAGGAGUAGCUGGAUUACAAGUUUCCUAUUUCAUGACUAAAAGCUGCAGUAGCAGGCUCGUGGGUGGGAGUCAAAGUCUCAUACGCCUUAGUUCCACUCUGAUAGUAAGUAGUAGCAGGAUCCGUUGCCGAAGCCGAGGAGAAUGCCUGCGUGUUGUAGACGAGAGCUUUGCUUGCUUCAUUUGAAAAGGGUAAACGAGUGAGUAGUGGUGCGAGCUUGCUUGAGCAGAGUCUCUUUCUGCUCUUGUGGAAUUUGGAUGUGUUUUCCUCUGCGCUACAACUUAUUGGAUUGGAGUUCGGUAUGCGCUAACGAGAGUUAUCUCUUAUCUUCUGUUUCUGCAUUUGAAUCGAAAGAUGAAAUAAAGGAUUAAGACAGUGGAGUUUAGUAUCGUAUGAGUUUAGUAUCAUAUAGCAAAAGGGUAAUUAGGGAAUCAGAGGUGUUGCGGUGAACAAGUAAGCGAGUUAUAUCAUCGGCAUUAGGAGCUUUGCAAGCCAUUACAUUAUUAGUGAAUUAGCCGUUGCGCAAGGGCGAUUACAGCGCCUAAUAUGUUUGGCUACGAGAGAUAAAGGUGAAAGUGUUGAAUCUUCUAAAUCAGGUAUUGCAGGAAGAAGCGCUUGAGUCUAAAGUUGAGUCGACGAAGAUCAUAUAAGUCCCCUUCUGUUAUAGGUCCAGUAUAAAGUAGAGUUUCGGGUUCAAGUAAGAAUCUAGUUCCAUUAUUGGGAUUAAUAGUCCAUUCAUUUCUGUAUUUCUAGAUUGAUUCUUGGACGUAGUGGUUCAAUUCCUCUUAUUAUAGGAUGAAGUAUUGAGUUCAGUAAAGCAAAGAUCCGGGGACUGGAUCGGUAGCUAUAGACUGAAGCAAGGGUAUUAGGAGUAGCGGAGUGGAAUUCCAGUCGAGUGGAUAGUAAUACCUAUAUGUAGGGAAGGCGGUGAGGAUAGUCAGACCUAUUGCCGGUAAAGGUAAGGCUGAUGGACCGGAGUAGAGGAAUCAGAGACAGUGGAGGCAGGCUAACAACUAUGCUAGUAAGCUAAACUGGAGCAUAGGUAUCUAAGGUAAGGAGCCCGGGACUGAGAGGCGCGAAAGGCACGAUUCAGGCUUGGCACCGAUGUUAACUAAUAAGGCUUGGAUCUAUGUGGACUAAUAAGGCUAUUUUCCUCUGUCGUUUAGCUUGGUUUACUAGGUUUAGUUAAUAGAGUCGUGUUUUGUUCUUACUUAAUGGAUUUUCUUCUUUAACGGAAGCAGUUUAGUAAUGAAAGACAUGAUGUACAACCUAAUAGGUAAGGGGGACUUUCUAGGCGGAAAUAAAGUAAGGGCUGGCUAAUAGACAGGUCGCAGCUGGCAGUUUUCAAGUAAGUAGUGGUAGCGUAGUAGGUCUACACCCAAAGAAUACAAGGUAGUAGUGUCAGUUGGAAGCUAGCACAUAAGAAGAAAAGUCAGUAGCGGAAGGCUCAGUUCCGCGGGCAACAUCUUCGUUUUUGGUUAGCGCAUCGGCCUUGCCCCGUACCAGUGCAUUUCUUAUUGACAGCGUUUUCAUCCUAAUGGUUCACAGUUGAGCUCCCUGUUCCGAGUGCAAUCUUUAUUGGUAUGGAUUUGCUCCUUGCUAGUUAUUCCUAGACUAGCUGCUCAUUCCUAUACUAAUUAGUUCCGCUCUGACUCAUAACCCCAGAUCCCCAUUCUAAUACUAACGAGUAUAAUUCCUAGGUGGAGGUUCGAUUCCUAUACCCUUGCUCGCAUUCCCGAUACCCCCAUUGACCCAUUCCACUCACCAUCCUUAGUAUACUGACCCUUUAGCUUGAAAGAAAGGAACGAAAACAGGUGGACGAACAAAGGUGGCCGCCUUUCUAAGUUGCUUGGCGCUUAGUUGCUUGGCUGUUGAAGUCUGAUACUGCUUAGGUGCAUUCCUGUUGUUACUGCUUGAAGUCUAUGUCUGCCGUUGCUUGGCCCAUUCUUGGAGGUACUCGUAUAGGUUUAGCGCAAGUGAAGUAAGACUAGAAGCCUGUAGAUAUAGAAUGAGACAGAAGGAAGUAAGCCCGAGAGCCGGGUUAGAUCAGUUGUUAAGUGAAAGCCCUAGUUUCCAGUGGGAGUUUUUGAGAUAGUAGCUACAUUCCCAGCUGUGAGCUACAGUUAUGUUGGCAUUAGUUCCAAUCCAAUACUGACUACCUGUAUUCUGUAUUCUUGUAUUGAUUCUAAGGUCCGACUCUUGUUGAUAUUGUUUUGAUUACUAGAUAGAGAUGACCUCUGUUUCCGCACUAAAUAUAUGAUAAAUGAAUGAUGAAUACAGUCGCUUCACUAUGAUGAAUACAGUAGCUUCACUUCUAGGAUAGAUCGAGUCGGGUGCGAGUCUAGGUUAAGCGGUUUCUUCUGAACUUCUGUGGCAACAGUUCUAUUCUUAGGCUACACCUCAAGUACGUCCCUUAGGCUACAUCUCCUGCACCAACAUUUGCAUUUUCUCUUUCUCUACACACAUUUGCUCUUUAUCUAUCUAUUCAAAAGGUGUGUUUAGUUCCAGAACUCCUAUUCUAACUGCCCGGUCGAUAAGGCUUCCCUGACUUUCUUAGCCCUUACCACUCCUUUGAUUCUUUAACGCUGGAAGAUGAUCCUUACUUACUUGUUUGAGAAUCCAACCACUGGUGCCGAGACCUUCACUGCUUACUUGCAUCCUUGCUUCCACUGAUCAGUAUACCAAUACGGAACUACAAUACCCAUAGUAGGAAUAAGGACGGAAAUCCCCGCCUCCAAGGCUAAAACAACAAGAGAAAGUGAAUCCAGCCAAACUCAUAACGCAGCUAACAAGGAUAUAGCUCAUAACAAGGAAUCCACCAAAAGAACAUAAGACUGAAAACGCUGCUACCGAGGCUUCAACAAGUACUACCAAUACAGCAACUUUCAAUACUGGAUACUAAGCAUGGGUACGUUGUAGCGCAUCUCAGAUAAUCAAAUGUAGGUCUGAUCUAGUGCAUUAAGAGACGGAGUAAAAACGUAGCUAACAAUAAUCAAAUAAGCAACUCGUAAUUCCACUCAUUAGUAUAGGCAUGAACCAAGCAACUGGGGCUUUUGCUACCAUUUACUGACGCUACACUCUUUUUGUUCCAGAUAUCCUUAUUUAUGGGCCUUAUACUUUUACAGCGUAGUGAAUUUCUUGCAGUUGUGUUUGUAUUAUUGGUAUGCUUAUCCAGGUAUACUAACUUGCUCGCCAACAAACCCACUAUUCUUAUGAGCCUUAUCCACUUCCAAGCUUAUUAGCCUUAUCCACUUCCAAGCCUAACUGACUAUACCUAUAAGCCUAAUUGAUUCUACUUUGAAUAAUUAUGUUUACUCAACACUAGGUGCGCUGGCCCCGGACACGAUGCACUAUAUUAUUUUUACAAGAUCUUAGGCUUAUAGCUCAUUAUAUCAGAAUGAAACCAAGGGCAGUUAGAGUCGGUGUCAGGAUCCGUAUCAGUAGCUACAGAGUGAGAAACACCUGGGAUAGGGGAAAGUAAUACCGAACCCUGGGAGUUUUGGAAUGAUAACAAGGGUAUUAAGCCUAUUAGUUAUAACAGCAGUUGCGUUUGGUUUGGGAGUGAUUAGUAAUUAGAACUUGAAGAUGUGCUCGUACUUCAGAUGUUUUCGUGUUACGUGUCAGUCCGGCUCGUAGGCCCAAGCCCCUUAUUACUGUGUUCGUGUCUGCCCAAGCCCAACUCUUGACUCUCUAGAGCCCGCUCCUCCAUGUGAGUCUACAUUGUCACUCGAACUUCACCUAACGAAUCAAACUAGUGCUUCACACAAUCAAACUCAGCAGUAUAAGUACGGGUAUGGUGUAGUGCAUCUAGUAAAAACAAUAGUCAUACUACUCAUAUAGGAAUAAGAAUAUGGAUUACCGAGUAGUCGAAUAAACCAACCCUUAACCAAGGAAUGAAACCAAUAAGUAGAAGCCUGCGAAAAAUGCACUAAUGAAUUUCACUUGGUUUACUGGGAAUCGGCGCAAGGAAAGCAAGAAUACAAAUACCAGUCUCAAUAAUGGAUAACUAAAUAGGGCAUUGAAGAAAGGGAUCGAAUUAAAGCAUGGGCGCUAGAGAACUGCACUUAUCGGUAAGUGAGAGAACUAGGCGGAUAGUUGAGCUAAAGAAAGCCAGUAAGCAGAGCAGGAUACUCAACCUAAACCUAACAAGUAAGAAUCGAGCCAGCAAGUCAAAGAAUAGGAACAGAGCGACUACCUCUAAGCGCGAAGCUGGUAAAUCAGGCUUGCUCUACCACUUUGGAUUCUAAGGCUCUCUCCCUUUUGGUUGGAGCUAAGAGAAAGUAAUGUAAUACAAAGAGAUAGUAGUGGCAGGUCUCUAAGACAGAAGCAGUAGGACAACUAACAAAACUCUUUAUUGGUUUACAAACUUAACUGUAAGAAGAAAGAACAAAAGUAUUGAUUAUAAGGUAUAGCAGGUAUCAUAGCGGAAUCCCUAGUUUCUUGUGUAAGUCUUAUCGGUAUUAGUUGAAUUACAAGUUUCCAGUUCAAAUAUGAGAAGCACUGAUUGAUUUCUUAUAAACAGGAGCUUAAGCCAGUGAAAGCGGCGGGGACUAUGAGAAAGUCAAGGCAUACUUAGAGUUGAGCUAAGUAGUCAAAGGAUACAAAGGCGUAUAUCUAGAGUGAGUGAGUGGAUUGACAGAAUUUAGAGCGAGGAGUUUAUUCCCGUGUUCCUAGUUCCAGUAUUGUCGGCAUCAGUUACAUUCUAAUAAGUAGUAUAAGCUUGGUUGCUAACUUCUGUGUUCCUUUGUUUUAUCUUAUAGGUCUUCUACUUCUUGGUGCGAUGCCAGAACUCACUGACGCCCAAAAGUGAGGAGUCUACAUCUCUUUACAGUGUGUGGGCGUCCGGGAAAGUAGUGGAAAUGACUGGUUGAUCUUUCACUAAAGGGAGUUUACCGGCGAAAGAAAAGAAUGUAUAGUACUAUAACUGUAGAGAGUAAGCUGCAAGCUGUGGUAUUGUAUGGAAACCAGUAAUUAUCGAAUAACUUAUAUGGUAAUUAGGGAAUAACUUAUAUGCUGGGAUGUGUGUUCUCGCAACAGAAUAAGUUGUGCGAGGAAAUGAUGUUAUCAAGUAAAGUGAUUAAUAAUAGGCCUGUACCCAUCUUAGAAUUAUCGGUUUGUUGACCCGCUUGCUGCCCUUAUUGAUACUUAACUAGCUCGGCACUGCUUCUUCUCUCGGAGACAAGAAAGGUCAAAAGCCAAGUAAGUUCCAAUCCAAAUGAUAUGAUGCCGUAGAACAGGCAAUAAGAGUAGUUCGUUUAAGGGCCUGAAAAGAAGGCAAUUCUCCACUGCUAUUGGAGUUGCAGGCGAGGACAUAGGCAAGAGGCACUGUUAUAUACUACCGGGAGUAUACAACUACUUUACGCCAGACUCACUGUUUUCGGGAGUUGGAGCUGUAUAAAGAGCCGACUUCACUCUAUUCUUUUUCUUUCCCUGGUGCAAGAAAACACACAGAACUAAUGGAAUAGAAAUAGAUACUAAUGAGUUCAGUGCUUGUAAAGGAAACUAUACUCGUACCUACCGUACCGAUACUAGUUAACGUUUACUUUCCUGGCCAAACCCAGAGAUUCUCGUAGACUACUUUAGCACCCAACCCAAAGCAAAUAUACUCAUAUGAUCUCUAAGACCUAACUGGCACUGCUGAUGAAGAUCUUGAAACUUUGUAAGAUCUGGUAGACUCCACUUUCCAUGUCUUUUCUCGUUCUUUAUCUCUGGAUCCUGAUUGAACUGAAGCUCCAUAUUUAAGGAAUACACCACCUACUUAGGAAUACACCUACCUACUUAGGAAUAUACACCACCUACUUAGGAAUACACCUAACCUAUCGCAGUCAACUCCCUUCCCUCACUUAUGAACUGGAACUAGCCCUGGACUCUAAUCUACCUCUGUAAACUCCCAAUCUCUCUUCUCUUUAGAAUCAGAAGUAGCUGAACCAUCAAGGGAACCAGAAAGAUUAGAGGCGUCAAUGCCAUAGAACAUCUGAUAGGUGGUCAACCAAGGAAAAGAGGUAGGAAAGUCAGAGCCCCCACUAAAUGUGAUCUUCUCUUUAUAUAGGUGAACGGAUUCCACUCGGUAUUACUUUAGCACAACAUCUGAUCUGGUCGAUGAAACUCAUUCACUUACAAGUAACUGCUAUAGACAAUAGCUUGGUUCGACACCUCGUAUCAAAGAAAGCAAGUACGUCCGCCCCGACAGCUUAACUUGCAACUUCAACAAGAAAUAAGAAUAGAAUGGAAUGAGUUUACCUUAUAUUAAGUCGGAAGCCUAAACCUCAAAAGAAGGGCCUUACUAUUCAUUUCCCAACAAGUAUACGAGUACACAAGAUAAGAGAGGUGUGCGGUCUAACAGUUAGUAGUUGACGAGUGAAAGAAGGGGCAAACUCUUCCAUUGCAGUGUUUCGGCCUUGCUCUUGCUAGUUUAGUUCCUUAUUGGAAUAGAAAAGUAGAAGUUCCCAGUACGACCAGACCAGCCAAGGGCCAAGCGCCAAGCAGGAAAGUGACUACUAGAGAUAGAGGUUACUGGGCAAGUUAGUAUAAGAGGAAUCGGACUUAAACUAUGAAGAGGCAUACUUUGAGUUAGGAAUGAAAGGAACAAGUCUGAAGUGGUGUAUUACAAUAUUAGAGCUAGUAGUCGCAGGCGUAUAGGCAGGAGAUAUAGGUUCACAGGAAGUCAAGCAAGACUUGGGCUCAUUAAUGGCAGGCCCAUAGCUGUGACUUUGCAGUUUCAUUCCCUGUUAGUUGGGUAGUUCACUGAGAUACUCCACAAGUAGGUAACGUCUUAUAAAUAGGAGUUUUCAUUCUAUUCCUUUUAGCUGUGAUCCUAUUAUUAUUAGUAUAUAGCAUAAGCUAAAAGCAAGUCAAGCAAGACUAAAAGCAAGGGCUGCGUCAGCUGCGAUGGCAAAAGUAGUGACAUAAUUCAAAUAAGGGUAGCUAGUUCCAGGGUAGAGAGUGCAAGUAAAGGGUUUCGCUAUGGAAACAAGGAAGGGUAGACUAGACUUAGGAAAUAGAUAGUAAAGCUCAGCUGACUGAGAGGCAGGCUAUCUUUAUGUGGUUAGGUCUUCUUUAUGCGUUUAGGUCCUCCACUUAUGUGUUCAAUUCGAAUUCCCAUUAGUAGUAGAGUGAUGUAGUAUCACCCAUGUGUUUAGUUAAGGGGUCGGGUAGUUUACUGACUUUGUAGGGUAGUUUACUUCUUUUACUCGGAUAGGCUGGUUGACUCACCUUGUUUACUGACUUGGUGGGGUAAGGUAGGUACGAAAUACUAGUUAGGAUGGUAGUUGGAGUCAGUUACUAGUGUUGAGUAAGCCCGAAGUCUGUUACUAGUUAUGAGUAAGCCCAGAAUAAGAAGGAAGCCCAGAAGAAAGGAGUCGGUAGUAGUCUAAUAAGGAAUUGCACUCACCGGGCUAACGCUAUACAUUAGUAUUUGCUUGUCCCGUUACUUGGCGCUCAUUGACGCCUUUAACUCACUACCGACCUGAAUACCUUACUCCGGUCCAAGCUACUACUCGUGGAGUCAACAAAGAAUUCCACAAUAAAUACAGAAUUAAGGAGAAGCUAUGGGUGGCAUUAAGGAGAAGCUAUGGGUGGCGCUAAGUCCACUCUCUUCGCCCUCUCUUUCUCUUUCAAUUGAAACUAAGUCUUAAAGGUAUUCUUUAUUAUAAGUAAAAGAAACCCCAAUAUAUGAUAUAUUAUAUUAUUCUAUCCUCUGUCAACUAGGUAUAAAACUACUGAUAUCAAGUCUGGUGUUGGGUGGUAAAGAGGAAAGUUAGGGAAUAUCUUAUUUGCAUUCCCUUAGUUAGGUUGCUGAGUAUAAAUAUUCUUAUUUGCAGUAUAGGCUUAUGAGUUAUGCCUUGUUACUAAGGCCUUGUUGCGGCGGUCGCUAAGUAUACUGAGUGAGGAAGUCCAUCGGGAGUUCGCGCACGACACAAAAGCUUGCUUCAUUCUUAUCCGCUACUACUCCGACUUAUAUACUUAUUAGGAGAAGAAGCGAAAGAGAACUAAUACUGAGUCACUCACUCCUACUGUUGCUUGAAACCCAACCCACUCACCAAAACACGGCAAAAAAGGCAGCAACAAGAUUUUCGCUAAUAGACAGAGAAAAAGCACUGAUUCUUUUAUGAAACCCCGUGUUUUUUCAUAGCUUCCGUUGUUGGUUGUCUACUUGCCCUUAUAUACAAGCUCCUUGCCUACUUGGCCCGCAUCUGUAACUAGAGACUUUUGUUCUUAUUAAAUGCCUACGAGGUAUUUCUCUUUCUUCCCAUUCCCACUCCGAUCAUAAGGUAUUAAUUUACUCAAAGCAAAGAGCCAACUACGAAACUACUAUGGCUACAACUACUUAUUCAACUACUCAACUACUAGUUAGCGACUAGACUCCACUCUUACAGCAGCUGCUCCGGUAUCUCAAACAAAACAGGAUUUCCUUCCUUCACUCCAUUCCCUCAUACCUUUACUGUAUAGCUCGGGCAAGGAGCGUAAGCUGCAACCCAAUUGAACUUAUUAUUGACAACACGCUUCUUCUAAAGCAAACUAAACCCUGAUUUGAUAACCGACAAAGCGAUAGCGGACUCGGGAAAGAUGGAUUAAUACACAAUAGAAUUAGGGUUCCUAUUGCGUUAGGAAAGGGAAGGUAAGAAAAUAGUUGUUUAUUCUAAUGGGGAAAGAGAUAGAAUCAAGUAUAUGUUAGGGUACUAUUGUCCUUAAUGGAUUCAUUAUCUAAAGGUACCUAUUGCGGGUAAAGCUCAAUCAUUAAUUCUAUAACUGUGAAAAUCUCGGGUUCAGCUCAAGAAAUCAGUCUAUUUAGAGUUCAGCUCAAUCAUUAAUUAUAUAACUGUGCUAAUAUCGGGUUCAGCUCAAUCAUUAAUUAUAUAAUGUGCCUAUUUAGGGUUCAGCUCACAUUCUCUAAGGUUACCUAUUUAGGGUUCAGCUCAAGAAAUCAGUCUAUAUCGGGCUUCAAUCAUUAAUUAUAUAACUGUGCUAAUAUCGGGUUCAGCUCACUAAAACGACUUAUAUGUGGUAGGUCGGUCCCUAUGGCUUAAUCUAAAGUGCAUUUCGGUGCACAGGAAUCGAAUGAAGUUAACCACACCUCAUUCAUUUUGUUCCUUUUCCUUAACGGAAAUAAAGGCUGCUAUUCUCCAGAAGGGCGGGGCCCGGGACCUGCCGGCGAAAAUGUGGAGUUAUUAAAAGGCUUUUGGGAUGAACUCAAAGAUCACCUGCUUGUGUACUUACAGAUAAGUAUAUCAAACCGCCUCCUUACCUCCCGGGGUCUUACGUGGCUUGUGUUUCUCCCUAAGAAGCCCAAUGCCGUCUUUCUUUCUUCAUCAAGGACUUUCGGCCCAUAGCUUAUUGUAAUGUUAUCCACAAGAUCUUUCCCAGCCAAUAUAGAAUCUCAAUUCCAUUCCCUUGUGAGUCAUGAACAGUCGGCAUUUGUUAAGGGUAGGAAUCCUCAGGACAACAUUGGAAUUGCUAAUGAGUCUAUACUCUGACUACUUCCAAAGGCAAACAUCCUAAUUCGAUUCUAAUCCUGAUUUGACAUUGAGAUUCCGUCUCGUCUCUUGGGAUGCAAGAAAAUCCACCCUUCACAACUCAUUGAGUCUAGUAAACUUGACUUUCCAUCUAGUUUGUUCCUUCUUUGGGAUGCAAGAAAAUCUACCCUUCACAACUCAUUGACUUUCCAUCUAAGUUAUCGAUGUGAUCUCUGCUUGUAUUUCCUCGCCUUCCUUUGCUUGCCUUGCCUGAUCAACGGUAACAACUCCGAAGCGCCAAUAAGGUCAUUCAUUCUAAAGGGAUAUCCCCUUUCUUUGUUUCUCCCUACCUUUUUCUCUUAGUUCAACAGAUUCUCUCUUCUCUCAUCACCGGUUCAUAGAAAAGAUAUGACUCUGGAUUUGGAAUCGAAAACCUGAAUUGACCAUCUAAUGUUUGCGGAUGAUCUGCCUCUUACGAGCUAACCCUAAAUCCUUUACUCAUGUCCUAAGAAAUCCUUUACUCAUGUCCUAAGAAUGCUUGCUACCUUCUCCAAUCUCUGGAAUAUCUUAGCCAAAUCCAAUGUGUUCUUCCCCAAGCAUUGUUAUGCCUCUAACAAACCAUCAUAUCUGUAACUCGCUUUCUAUUAGUGAAGGAUGCUGGCAAAUACCUUGGCACUUAGGGUCGGCUUCCUUAUAGGGUUCCAAAUCCUUGGUGGAUAAUGCUCUUAGUAUAAUCCAGGGCUGACACAAAGGCCUGCUUGAACAAGCUAGCAAGGUUGGUACUCAUUAAUUCUUUUCUCAAUUCUCUCCCUACCUAUAUCCAGUUUCACUCCAGGGUUUCAGACAAACAGUGAAACAGGGUGUCGCUAUCCCGCUACUUCUUCUGGCCAUAAUAAUAGAAUCAAAAGCACUUGAAUAGAAGAAUAGAAAAAGCACUUGAUCCGUUGUGGGACAAGAUGAUUCUUCCUAAGGCCAAGAGAGGGCUUUCUAUUAGAGACCUUACAAGGGUAAAGAAGGUCGUGCGUAUCUUACCCAUCCUAAACCAUCACCACUCUCUUUUGGUCAAUAUCUUCCUCUCUUAAUAUAGCCACCAUGGAAUAAUGCCCAAGCAGGUAGGAUUUCGAGAUCUAGCAAUUCCAUUAGAAAGCUUACCUCCUCCAUCAGGGAGGGGUUCCGGAAACUCAUAUGCAAUGAAUGGUACCACAACUCUUAUUUGAAUGAAUGGUACCACAACUCUUAUUUGGAAGAUCCCAAUGCAAUGCCUUCAUAUUAUGGAAUUUCUCAUCUGACUCUGUUAUUCCAUGAUAUGGAAAAUCAUUGACUCGUCAAUUCCGGUUUAGGUGAUCCAGGAGUGGGGGUGGAAUCUAGUAUAUGGUGUAUUGGACGUGUCAGUAGUUGAUUAAUUCCAAUAAGUUGCCUUCCAAACCCAUCCUGAUGAAUCCCGGAACCAACUGAGUGAGGUAUAAACCCUUAGGACCAAGCUAGCGGAUCAUGACACAAUGUGGAAUCAGUUAUGUGACCAAAUUACCCAAGUCCUAAGAGCUCUCCAACAUCUUGAAGACCAAAACAUUAGGGAUUCGGUUAUGCAACAUAUGUCCAUUCUGCACAAUCCAUUGCUUUCCAAUCAAGGAAUUUGACCUACUCCCCAAGCAAGCCAGCCCCAGUUCGAACAAAUCCUAGGUUUACCUAUAGGGCACCAGUUGACAAUCAUGCUCCCACAAUUCCGGAUGCCCAAGCCUUUGACCUUAACGAUGAAUUCCUAGAACCUACUAGAAAUCCAAAAACCUGAGCCGAGUAGUAAUGGGCCAACGAGUUCGGUUUGCUGACAAUCUGGAGGAAAUGAUGGCUAUAAGAGUAAAAGUAGAUGUACGUACUUUGAUGGUAGGUUUUACCCAAAUGUGUUUGUUGACUGGUUAUAUAGCAUGGAAGACUACUUUUAGUGGUCUCUGGAAUGAUUGAUAUUGAAGUGUACGAUUUGCAAAAAGAAAACGGUCCUCCGCUAGGAAAUAUGGGCAACAUGUCCAACGUAGUCUCGAACACAGUCGAGAGCCUCCCAUCACUCAAUGGGAAGUCAUGAAACAAAAACGUAAGGAAAUAUACAAUUACCAACCCACUUUCGAAGCCAAUUGGUUUCACAAUUGUUCAACCUCUACUACUGUUUCAUUCUAGUUUAGCGGGGGAGAGUAUUUGGCCCAUUUUGAGGAACUUUUACUUAGGUGUGAAAUAGAAGAGGACCAAAUCAUCACUGUCCGAAGAUUUCUUAAUGGGUUUAGGUUUUACAUCCAACGGGAAAAGUCUCCCUUCCUUUGUUUACCCGACCACUAUAGAGGAAGCUUCCCCACUAGCCCUUGAGAUUGAGAUAAGCACAUAAAACUCGAUCCAAUUCGUGGAGCAUCUUCUCCGUCUCUCGACAAUAGAACUAUUACACAAUCAAACCAAACCAAGUAGUGGCUCUGUAAAGUCAAAUAAAUAUACUAGCUACAAUCCAGGAAUCCGCCAAUGUUAGUCUUUCAAUGCCUUUUGUGUGCUUCUUUCGUGAUUGGCUUGUCCAAGACUUGCCAAACCAUGAAUCGUCCAACUCGUUAAACUACGGAUUCUCCAACUUGUUCGUCUUCAAUCCUGUGUUGCCAUAAUAGACAUUGCCUCUCGGUGUCCUCAACAAUGACUCUUGACCUUAAAACAAGAAGAACCUAAGGAAAGGAGAAAAUAUGGGAAGUAGACCCAGUAGUUGGAGCCCGAAGCCUACUCAGGUGAAGUGACGAAAAUGAACUAGAAAUGGAUAAGCCGCCCAUGUUAAUGUUGUCCGCAUGAAAACGAACUAGAAAUGGAAGAUGCCCAUGUUAAUGUUGUCUGCAUUAUUCUCUCUAAAGCUAGUGAUUCCAAUGAAUGGAAGAGGACAAGUAUAUUCCUCACUUUUCUCCGAAGCAGGGAAAUAACUUGCUAAUUGGUUAUUGAUGGUCUGAACGUAGUUUCAAUGCUAUGCAAUAGACUCAACCCGACCCCAUGAAAAGUAGCCCACCGUGACCGAGAGAUGCCUAGUACCAAUCCAAAUGGGCGAUUAUCCAAGAUUCGAUUCACUGUUACGUCCUACCUAUGCAUGUUGCCCACAUUCUUUUAGGUCUACCUUGGUUGUAUGACCUUGAUGUUACCAAUCAUGGCAGAGAAAAAACCUAUGCCUUUCCAUACUAGGGAAAAAACAUUAUCCUGCACCGCAAUCAAAGGACAAAUCAGGAACUCCCAAGUCUCCUAUACAAGCCCAAACCACUAAGAAGGGACUCCACUGACGAGUAUAUGACUCCACUGACGAGUAUAUUAUGCAAAAUAGAGAGCCUAGACAACCAAUUUAGUGUAGCCAUCACUGCUAGAUAAAUUCCUAGCCCUUGCACCAUUCUUUACCUAAUUCCGGAUGGUAAGUCCUAAUUAGAUUCAUUUGAUGAUGUCAUACCCUCGGCAUUACCUAGUGCAACCCUUACGUGAAAUCCAACAUGCCAUUUACCUUCUCCCAGGAUCGCAGCUCCCUAGAAUCCCCCAUAGAAAAUGAAUCCUAAGGGGAGAGUCGAGUUAAACAAACAGAAUCACUUAGGGCUAAAGGCUUUGUACCCUUACUAAGCUGUCCCUUCCUUGUUAACUGCUAUCUGUCUCCCUGCCUUGUUAAUCGCUAUCAGUCCUAUAGCUGUCCCUUCCUUGUUAACCGCUAAGAAAGAUGGGUCGUGGAGGAUGUGUGUGUGGAUAGCCGAGCACAAAAUAACAAAUCAAUAUGGCUUCCCGAUGCCUCUACUUUAGUAUAUGCUAGACCUCGGAUCUAGUAGGUUUUCGAAAAUAGACCUGAGAAGCUGAUACCCCCAAAUUGGAGACCCUAAGACGAAUGGAAAACAGCAUUCGAAACGAAAGAUGGCCUAUAAAUGGCUAGUAAUGCCCAAAGGUCUAUCCAAUGCCCCUCAUGCGCUUCAUGAACAACCCUACAUAGUCCCAUUUUUGGUAGUAUACUUUGAUUACAUCUUUCUCUUUAGUAAGACCGAAUCAUUUAGAACAUCUUCGACAGGUUCUUACUACCCUUCGAGUUGCUAAGCUCUAUGUCAAUCUUCAAAGUGUUCGUUCAUACAAACCCAUGUCCUAUUCCUAGGCUUCAACAUUUCUGCCCAAGGUGUUGUUGCCACUGAUACAGAAAAGAUCCGCGUCUCAUUUGAUAAUGGCCGGUAAGCCUCCAACUAUAUCUUAGGUUCGCUGUUUAAUAGAUUAGUAUAUUCUAUUAUUCUAUAUGAUUCUAUUAUUUCUGUUCUAUAUUCUUCUAUUAUUUCUGUCUAACGAGGGUUGAGUUCUAUCAUUGCACCUAUCACUGAUUGCCCUAAAGAAAGGUAGGUUUGUUUUCUUUGACUGGACCCUGGCAGCUACCAAAGCCUUUGCGGACAUCAAAAUGCAAAUAACCACCGCUCCUGUUCUGCUGACUUAAGUAAAGUAAACUGUUUGAGGUAACUUGUGAUGCCUCUGGUAUCGUUUUUCUGGGUGCAAUUCUUAGUAACAAGAGGAUAAGCCUAUCGUUUCAGUGAGAAACUCAAUGAUGCAAAACAACAUUAUUAUACCAACGACAAUGAAUUCUAGGCGAUUGUGCAAUGUCUUAGGUAUUGGCGAUAUUUCCUUCUGCCGCAAGAGUGUGUCUUGUUGUCUGACCACCUGUAAGUAUGGUUGGUACUUUAAUGCCCCAAAUAAGUGAAAUGCUUUACGGGUUCCGUUUCUCAACGAAUACUCUGUCGCUGUAUACUUUCAUUCUGAUGCUUCUUAUCUUGCUUGUUCUUUUGCUGCUUCAAAACUCACUUUCAAACACAGCACUGCUUCUUUGUAAAGAGAAGAAUAUCGUUGUAACCCCGGAAACAGUGGAGUUGAGUUCAGGCAAGCAAGAAGAGCCACCAGGCCCUAUAGAGUUUUUCGUUCUGAUGUGAGCUUUCUUUGGAGGAGUCAGCUGUAAGGUUAGCGAUAACAAGCCGCUUACGGAGCUCUCCAUUAGUUUCGUUUGAAUGGGGCUGGGCUUCUUUCUCGUCUCAAGACCUAUACUCUGAAUUAACUGUAUUAAGAAAGACCCCUAUCAGAUUUUCUAGUUCAUUGACGGCACUCCCCUAUUAACAACUCAUAACUCGCGGGAAUCUUUCUUGCAGGGCAUAUCAUUUAGGAAAAGAAUAUUGCACAUCGUAACAAAGAAUUCCAUUCAUAUAUCACUUAUGCGCAUGGAAUGUCAGAAAGCUGCUCACUAAUGCACUGACUCUUUCCCUUACGUCCCCUUUUCUUUUAGAACCGAUUGCAUUGACUUUGUCUCUGGGUGGCGAAGGAGUGUCUUCUGACUAUAAUAUACUUGAUUUUGAGUGUCUUCUGACUGUAAUAUAUAAUUGGAUGGAAAGCACUAAAUGAUAGAAAUUCGCAAGGGUUGGUGGCUAUAUAAGUAUAAGUCAGCUGCCUGGCAAGGGCGAUAUAUUUACACCCCUAAACUAUCAAGUCAGAAAAGAAUGGAACUGCAACACCGAGAUCUACUUGUUUACUUUUUCCCAUAAACUAAAAGCUUACAGCUGGCUCAGUUCUUUAACUUCCCCGAACCUUUCCAUUCUAAAGUAGUGCACCACAGAUAUCAGAAUAGGAACAACACCUCACAGCUUAACUAAUUGCCAAACCUCACAGCUAUUACUUACUCCCUUAACAAACUCACUGUUAGCACCCCAGCACCCCAAGAGUAAGCUAACUAUAAGAGAUGAACCUAGCUCUUGAACUCCAAAGAAGAGAUGAACCUAACUCUGGAAACUCCAAAGAAGAGAUGAACCUAACUCUGGAAACUCCAAAGAAGAGAAGAUAGUUCAAACCACAUUCCGGAACUCACUCCAAAGAAGAUAGUCAAACCUUACUCUGGAAAACUCCAAUGAGUGUUAGCGCGAAAGAACGAAUUGAUGCAGACAAAGAACUCGCGUUAGCUAGAAACUGUACGAGAAACUGUAUUUGUUGCCCCCUAUACUAGAAUAUGGGACAGAGGUACCUAUACUAUACUUAAGGACGGAGGCAUGGGCGCAGUAAUAACAGUUUGAUACUUGUUCUCUUGCUUUCAGAAUGGAGGAUAGGCAUAGUUUAUGCUUUCAGAAUGGAGGAUAGGCAUAGUUUACUUGUUUGCUUGCUUGCUUGUUGAAUAGAGUGCACAUAACCACAUGUUUGCUUAAAGAACGAAUUGAUUGCACCCUACCCUAUAUUAGAGUGCUUCUUUUAUUGCAUAAAGCUUGUGGUCCACGAUAAUAUCCCUUACUCACAGUGGCAAGCGGGUAGCAAAGCAAAGUCGAAUCAACGGGCUGAGGUACAGUAUGCUCAGAAGUUUGAGCGGUGUAAACACACUCUGCCUCCUUCUUCCGUUUCAGGAGUCGCUUUGGGACUGCCGAUUUCUCCCGAUUAGAGAGAUUCUGAAUAAAUGCUAACCACAAACAAGGCAGAGUUGGGCGUGUGAAGAGCAGAGCCAGAGGUCUAACAAGCAAUGGCAAUAACGGCAAGAAAGUCAAUAGGACAGCUGAUCCCAAAUAUGAAAUAGCUUUUGAAAGAUCGGAUUCUUGGCUUUGAGUCAUAACAGCCUCGCAAUCAUUCCUCUAUCUCUGGUUUCUCAGCAUCUUUCCCACUUCUGAAAUGAAGUCGAACAGAGGGAGAGAAGAAGCUAUGCCAAAGAAAGUAAGCGGACCACAAAAGCAAAAAGGUAGUAAGUUCCAUUCAACCAAGCUUUUAUUUCACCUGAGUUAAGAUGCGGGCACAAGACCACAAGGGGCUGUAAACCCACAACGCCGUUAGCGAGUUCACCGAAGUUAGUGUUAGUGAAAUUCCAUGAUUUAGAGCCUGCAGUCAUAGGUGCAAGCACACACAGUCAAAAGGAGGAGCCCAUUCAUUGCUCUACCUAACAAAACAGCUCAAACCCAUAAGUUAACGCGCAAUGCUUUCUGCUAUUGGUAGUUUUCGGAGCGCCCUUUUCCCAGCAUAUACAUAAGUAGGGGAGUGGAAUCGGAUUCAUUCAUUAGUGUUUGUUGCGCUAACGGGAGUUAUACCUCGGCUCGGCUUGUAUUGCCUUUCUGAUCUCAUUCGUAUUCCGAUCGCAAAAACAAUGUCUUUCUUUAGUUAUAUUUGGAAGAUAAGUAGAAAGUUGUUGUUUUACUAGAACCAUCAGCAUAUUGUUUCAGCUCGGUGGCCAACCCAUUGAUUUGACUCAGGUAAAUUUCUGACUUCACCAUCGGAGUUAGUGAGCUGCUCGCCUCAUUCGAUGAAGACAAGGAUUGAUUGCUAGAGAAAAGGAUCUCCAUACGGUCGGUCCCUGCCUCUAUUCCUUCUUAAAGAAAGCUCAAAGUAGUCAAUGGACGGGAAUGACUAAAAACCAACCCCACUAUAAGAGAAUGCGCAAUAGAAGCGUCGGUUAAGAGGAAAGCUUGUCCGUUGGUGGUAUCAAGUCCGGGUAGCAAAGAAAGAGCUCCGUUAGCGCCUCACUGCCGCUGGAUUACAGAUGAUUUAGUCUACAGAUACAGAAAGAGCUGGAUCACAGAUGGAUGAUUCAUAUUAUUCUUCGCCAGACUUAAGAUCACACGAGGAAAGUAGUCAAUGGGCCUCGAGUCUAUAAGAUUGUUUAGUCUAUCGAUCAAGCAUUAAACCCGGCGAGUCUAUAAGAUUGUUUAGUCUAUCGAUCAAGCAUUAAACCCGCUGUAAAUAAAGAAAGUGGAACUGACUUGUGCACCUUAAUUGAACUCUUCUCUGAAUCUUUCUUACCUUGCUUUCUUCUCUAAAUAAUAGAAUAUCGGCACUGCUAUUCCUAGCCCAAGAGUACUUUACUUCGCUAUCCCUAGCCAAGAGAGUCGGGGUCUUAAAUACUGAGGGAAAGCACAACUUGAACGCCUUGUCCUACUCUUCCGAUUACAGAAUGACUGGUGCAGUGGAUCCAAAGGGAGCAGAUGGUUUUUCAAAAGAAAUAAGUCGGGAGGCAUUUUCCAGAAUGAUCGCUCGGUAUUACAACAAUCAGAAUUAUCGCUCAGUAGAUCCAACAAUAUUAGUAAUGAGCUGUCUCGCUCGGUAUCCUAAAUUGGGCUCUGUUUUUGAAGGCCCCAACACAUAAUGCUAAGUUAGUUAGUUUUGUAUAUAAGUUGAGAAUAUUACAUCUAUCUAUACGUAACUCCUCCGUUAGCGCAACAUUCUACUAAAUAAACUAAGCCCUUAUUUUCUUUCUGCAAUAGAAUCGGCCCCUUCUAUCUUCGCUAAUGCCUAAUCCACUGACAAUCUCCUUGCUCCCCAUAAAAUGCUAUCUUGACUACAGCAAGAGAUCGGCAACCGCUCCCCCUUGCGCUGCGCUACCUCCUCUCUAUCAAAUGUAAAUGAUUAUUUGCCUUUCAAGCAAACAAGCAACAUAGUUAGUUGCGCUUACUGAGUUAGCUGCGCCGUUGAGACAGAGAAAAAGGGGAUAGCUAAAGAAAGUGAAUUCGCCCUUCACGGAGUUCACCCUUUGUCAGUUCAAUUCAAAAGGGAAGCAAUGUAUGUCUUUGCGGUAGCUUCAUACCAUAAAUACACACUCAAAUAGGAAUGGAGAAAGAAAAGAAGCUGAGGAAGGGGAGAGCGAAGCGAGAGUGGGGACUAGGUUAAGCUCUACCUACUGCAAUUUCGGAGUUAGAUAGGAGGAGCGCCUUUGCAUUCAACAAUUCCAUUCCACAAUUCUUUAAUGAGCAUAAAGCGUGGAAAGCCAUUUCCGUAAAAGGGCUGCUAGCCUCUUUCUUGAGUUGAUGGGAAACGGUGGGCGACUGGUAAGAAAACACUUCAAUUCAAUAAGUAAUCCACCUUUUCUUUUCUGCCCGAAGGAAAGGGCCCAUCCAAGCAAUCUCCCGAAGUGGUGGCGCUGUCAAACUCUCUCAGUUGCUUCUUAUUUGAAGCGUUUGCUCCUCAAUCUGUCCCAACUCAGGAAUUGCGCCCUAAGAGAGAGAACACAAGAAAAGAAAUAGAUAUAGUACCUUCUUUCUCCCUAUAGAUAUAGUACCUUCUUUCUCUCUCGAAAGGGAUUGGGCCCCGCCAGUCGGUAAUUAGAGAAGAAGAUCACUCCUUCAGCAAACACAACAGAGGAAGUAGUAGUUAUAGCUUGAACGGACAGCACUAGCUCAAUUCCGGAUCAAGCCAUUCGAGGUGGACCAGCAUUCAUUCUCAAAUCCAGUAGAAUCCACCUUAUGCUAGCUGUCUUUUAUAGGCCUUCUGAUUACAGGUAUAGAUGGAAAUGCCCCUGGCUCCUUGGCACGCACAAAGCUGGCUCUCUCGAAGAUAACAGAGUAGGUCUCGCCCAAAGAGUCUUUCACCUAUAUACUUUCAGUGCAGCAUUUGUUUAAGUUCACCUCUUUCCUUUCUUGAAGCAUUAAAGAUCAACCCUCUAGAAUAUCCACUUAGAAUAUAGAAGUAGAGUCAAGAGUUCCGCUCAAUAAAGACAUGAAUAGCAAGUCUCUCUUCAGCAGAAGAAGGAGCAGAGUUCUCGGGUGCUUGACUGUAAUUGUGCGGUUCUGUUCUUCAAGUCGAAGCGGAUCUGGAGUCUUUAUUCUACCGGCUCACUAACGCAAAAAAGCAGAAAUCAAUCAAUACUAUACAAAGAACUCCUUAGCAAAAAGAGCCAAGCAACGCCGAAACAGAAUGAAACCACUGCCCACAAGAGUGAAACAAGUAAGUCCCGAACUCGCUAACACACACGUUAGUACUUAGGCUUUCCAAGUAAGUCAACAAAGUGAGUUAACUACCCUCGCAUCAAAGCCAGAUCCUUUUCCCGUUUAUGCUUUAUACUCGCUUCAUUUCUUUCUCCAUAGAUUUGAUUCUUCUGAGACUUUCAACUGAGAUUUAUGAUCCUGCUCCAUCUGAUGAUCCUAAUCCAUCCUAGGCUUCAUAUCUUAGUGAUUCUUAAGUAUAAAGUAGGCUUGACUCCCCAUAUCCUAGUGAUUCUUAAGUAUAAGUAGGCUUGACUCCCACGGAUGCUUAUUAUGCUCCUUCCGAUGCUGUUGGUGUUCACAGUAAACUCAGAAUGAAAACGAUUGCGGGCCUGGACUUGGACUGUCCUCAUCAUUAAUUGAAUCCUUCGUUGAUUUUGCACACUUGGUAUAAAAUAAAGUAAAUACACAUCAUCUGCACUUAGUCUUGAUCCGAACCGAAGUGAAAUCAUUCUGAAACGAAUAAAAGCCUAUAAUUGCAUCCGCUUGCUUGAGCCUCUUCUUAGAAAAAGGCAAGGCCCCGAAACCAUUACUUUCCCUUAUAGAGGAUUCCACUAGACUGAGAUGAUAUUUCAUAACCGAAAAGAAAGGUCCCUAUGCCUGAAACACCUCUACUACUUUGAAACGACAAGGCGAGAUCGACCUACCGAAUGAAUUGUCUUUACCGCGAUGACUAAUGCUAUAGGGCGCCAACACUUAUUGAACGUCUUGCUCCGGCAAACUCACUAUCCUCGCGUAGUAGGCAUGAGAAAAGAGAUGAGGCUUCGGCUUCCCAUCGAGUAUACUUGACUUUAUGGGCACUGAAGAUUCCUCCGAUCCGGCAUCUGAUCUUAGCACUGAUCCAGGUCUUGAAACAGCAUAUUAUCUUCUCUCGUAGACAACAAAGGUAAAUCGUGAUAGUAUAAAGUGGCGAAAGCAAGGUGCUGAAAGAAAGCCUAGUAUAAUGAGGUUCGGUGUAGAUCUUAACGCGAGUAAGUUGUUUGUUUCAGUCAGGUUAUGAUUUGAUAUUUGUUGAGGUGCAUAUGAAUUAGAGCCCGUACAGUUUGAGUUAGUAAAAGCAUAGAGAGCAAUAAAAAGAAGAAACUUGUAUUAAUAGAGUUUUCGGGGAACAAGCAAACAAGCGCUAAUGUGAGCUUUCCGGGGUGGGUCGCUUUCUUAUUGGAUUUUGAGUCAUUCAGUAGUGGUGCGUUAGCUUACUUCGGGGUGCUAAAACUAGCGUCGAGAGUACUCAUCUAACAGGGUUCCUCCGCCUCAGAGUAAGCAGUAAGGAGUAAGUCAGUAAGCCAGGGUUCCUCCGCCUCAGAGUAACAAGUCAAACAGUCAAAUCAUGAAAAUCAAAGAAUGCAUUUCAUCAAGAGAGCCGCCGAACAAAGAAUGAAUUGCACUUGCGUCUAGUAUAUCACAAUGUUACCUAGUUUAUCUAUACAAUAUGAAACAAGCAUUCUAAGUAGAGCUAUUGACCACAACCUCCUAUAACGCCCAUCAUCGCCAAUCGAAAAGUGCAUACAGUGGAGGGCCUUCCUUCUUGCAUUCUGACUAGUCCCAUUGUCUCUGUGUAACGAAAGAUAAGCUUUGAUAGGUUGAGCAUCACUUUACAUAGCUAUCCCACCUACGCUCAAUUGUUUAUUGGAUAAAGAAGGUGCUGAAAGCCCGGAUUUGCACUAAACCCUUUUUCUUUUGUUUACGAUUCAAUGUUCUUGAAUAAGAGAAGAGAUCGUAUAAGUCCAAUGCCUUCUAAACCAAUAGGGGGGAAAGUUUCACUAAGCCCAGAGAGCGGCCAUGAUAAGGAGAUUACAUUAAUGCCACUUACCGCUGCAAUAGCGAGAGCAAAGAAAGUGUAGUCGUGGCAAGCUUCCUCUGUAGCAAAAGAAUACCGAUAGACCAUAAUACACAGUGGGUACGAGGUGAGAGAAUCCGACUUCCUUCUCUAAUAAGGCCUGGUGUGCAAGAAAUAGAAUGAAACCAGUAGCUAGGGAAUCGAUUGAACUAUGAAUGCUCCUUCCUUCCUUCCUAUGUACACUGCUCCUUCCUUUAUUAGAAGAAAAACAAGCAAUAAGUACUCUCCUUCCUUCCUAUGUACUAGAUAUUGUGCAUUGCCUGAAGGUAUCGCUCUCACUUCGGCGUACAAGAGAACGAGCACCAUCCUACGACCGACAUAGGAAAGCACUGGCUUGCCCUCCCUAAAGGUGUACAUUUGAAAAGCGCUUCUCUUCAUCCAUAACUAUAUAGGUUUGACUCCCUUCAGCUUCAUGGAACCCUAUGGAAGGCUUAGUCUGUCCCCCGACCUGGUCCUCGUUAGGUCUUGUAGGUACCUAUAGUACACUUUCUCUCUCGCUCUAUUCUCCAGAACUUUCUUAUAAUCCCGUGCCAACCCUUAAAAACCUCUAGAUCCCUCUUUCCCUCACAAACCUAUAUCUCCCUCUUUUUCCCCUUCCUUCGUAAAGCUAGCAUCAAGGAUGGAGGAUAUCAAAAGUGGGGCGGCGUUACUUAUAGGGGUUUCUUUCGUCUGUCAUUGUUCAGAUGGCCAAAACCACCGUUGUUAUUAAACAAAGAAAGAGCAGAGAUUGGAUAAGUUAUUCUUGCAGUAAUCGUGUUUUCUUCCGAUAUUUAUUCCUGUGCUUCUCUCAGGGCAUUCUCCGCAUCAACAAUAGAACUUUCCUAUUAUUAUAUCCUCCCUAUACCCUUGAAAUAGCUCCUUAUGUGCAUUUAUGCCUGAUAGCAAGCAUUCCAUCUAACGCGCCUGCCUUCCCUAAGCGAACUCUGGACAAAACUAGGGUGCGCUCAGCAGAACUAAGAUUGGAACUUUGUAAUAUUUAGUAAGAUGUAAGCAGCAGCGAGGGUGCGAAACUCCCUUGGCAUUGGGGACACCCGUAGCGAGCCUGCAGUGCUCUGUGCUCCUUUGUUUGAGCCUCCUUGUUUCUCUGAGCUUUUUUAAGAGAAUCAAAUGAAGAUAAGUUCACUUGUCUGCUUGUCGGGUGGGGGAGCGAUAGUAGAAUCUUUUUAUGUGCGGGGAGGGUCCACUCCAGCUUUUUGAUCCUUCUAGAACAAGUCCAUUCCUUAUCCUUAGAGUGUGCUUACCCACUGGAGCAAGUGGUUAUGUUCUAGUAAAGUCAACUAGAGAAUCAUAAGAAGCUAGAGAAUCAGCAGUUUCAAUAUCUUCACUGCUGUUAAAGAAUCAGUGGUAGAAAAGAAGUCAGCUUAUAGGAUACAGAAGAUUAUCUCGAAUCUCAUUGCCCAAGAAAGAAUAGAAGCCGAAUGAAUUAGCGGGUAGCUCCAGAGAAAAUGUGUAGAUCUAGGGUUGCUCAAGCAAGAUAACAAGUAUGGAUCUAGUAUAGUAUAGAAAACUCUUUGUAAUCAUAGUAAGAGAGAGAGGGGAUCCAAUUGAAAUAGAAUUCUUCGCCUAAGGGGGUAGGGGUUGUCAAAUCUGCAGUCUCGAAACUCACGCUUGACUUCAUUCCUAAACUCACUAGCGCCGCUCCACCAGCUUGACUUCAUUCCUAAACUCACUAGCGCCGCUCCACCAAUAAGCUUACUUGCGCCCGUUAGUUGCUUUAAUCCAAAUAUGGUAUUGGCAGCCUUACCUUUAUACUCCGCACUAAAGGGGCAGAGCACUAAAGGGACAGAGGCAUAGGCACCCUUUACGACCGACAGGAAGGAACGAGUAGACCCACCAGCUUUCCUAAAUGUGUUGCAUAUAGUCCACAACGAAUAGAAGAUGGAUGCAUUACUAUACUAAUAGAAUCUAGGUACCGUACCGAUCUAUACUUUAUGAGCUUAUUUGCACUUCGCCUUUCCAGGAGCUCCUUGCCAGCUUGAUUGCGUGGCCAAAUCUUAUAGGGAGUAUGUCAUAUAUGGGGAGCAUGUGAAACAUAGGGAGCAUGUCAUAUAUGGGGAGCAUGUGAAACAUAGGGAGCAUGUGAUAUAUAGGGAGCAUGUCAUAUACGGGGAGCAUGUGAUACAUAGGGAGCAUGUCAUAGAAUUUGGGGAGUACCUAACAGCAGCCCCUAUACCAAAAGAAUGGAACAGCCAAAAACAACCUAUAUUAUGGACUUCGCUCGCUAUUAAGAAGGAUUAUUGGAUUGCUCUCUUUCCUAAAAGAAAAGUCAAAGGCUCUUUGGCCCUACUAAAGCUCCCUUUCUUUCCUUUCUCGUAUAGUAUAAGAUAUUCUCUUUCCUUUCUCGUAUAGUAUAAGAUAUGGUUGGUUGUACGGCUUUUUCUUAUCUUCUUCCCGUCCUGCUAUUGUCUUGUUUAAAUCAAUAUCUCCUCCUCCUCUCUCUCCUGCCAAUCAAUUGCUAUGGGAAUGGAAGGGACUCAAUUCUUUUGGUAGUUUCAAAUAACCAUAGAUCCUAUGAUUCCCGAAUAACCUUUUCUUGAGAACUGUUGCUGAAUCAAUGGCCAAUGAUAAGAGUAGGGCUCUUUUGAUAGGGGCUUUCCAUGGAAAAGAGUGGUUCGUUCAGAUUUAGCCAGAGCAGAAAGAAGGGUAGGCUCAAGAUUGCGUAGAAAAGUAAGGUAUGUCUAGGACACAAAUAAGUCGUGUCGUCGUGCUUCUUUUCUCUUUCAUUUUACAAGGAAGCACAUAAUUGGUUGAAGAUCACGCGAAUAAAACCACUCUGUAUCUUUUAUCAAUCAUAAAAUCUAGUAGCUGAGGAUUCGAAUCACCCCAAACCGCUGGGUGAGAUUAGGCGUGGACAGGAAAGUGUGCAGGAUGUAAAGUAGGUAGGAGGAGGGGCUUAGCCUUCUUACAGGCAUUGAAGAAUCGCUAAGCGCAUGUCACAAAGCAUUGAAGAAUCGCUAAGCGCAUGUCACAAAGCAUAUAGGCCAUAGCGAAGGAAAAGCGAGCCACCUCAAUGCAAAUUGUUUCAAGUUAUAAAGCCCAGAAAUGGAUAUUUUGAUACCCCUGGCCCUUUCUGUCUUUCUGGAAUUUCUAUUUGCUAGACUUCCGCCCUAGCCCUUCCUGUCUCUCUGGAAUUUCUCUUUUUCCCUAGGCCCUUUCUUUCUCUGCUUAUAUCAAAGCUGCAAAUGAGACGUACUCUGGUUGAAUCAGAACGACUUACUUUACAAUGGAUCCCCCCUCCCCUCCAAAGAUCUGUAUAAAACAGCGCAGGAGGAUCCUUCCCGAAGCAUAACCCAUUAUUACAUCUUCAUUAUCUAAGCGGACCCGGAGCAUACAGUUUGGAAGUGAUUCAGUAAUUUCACCUUCAUGAAUCAAUUUAAGGUCUUUCAUUCCUGUUAAACUCCAUGAAGUAUAAACUAUAGGAAGAAUAAGAUGGAUAACUUGAACUUUGAUACAACAAAGACCUAUCUAUUUCACAAAUAGUAAGUUAGAGAGAAAAUGAGUAUACCAGAGUCGGAGGAUCCCACAAGAUAUAUAAAUGAAGUUCGCCUCCAAUUGGAUCUCAUAGAGCUUCUCGAUCUGUCAUUAUACCUCGAAAAGUGUAAACAAAGAAACUUCCAAUCUGAGGAAUGGUAUAUACGUAAUCAAGUAGUAAACAGGGCGGAUACGCUUCAAAAUGGUGUUCCUUGUAUUCUUUGCUUUUCCUAUUCUUCUAUGUCUAUGAGUUUCAACCAAAGAAAGAUUUGUUACCUUCCUGAUGUUUCCGAAUUCAAUAAAACCUUAUAGUAUAAGUGUAUGUUCACCAUAUUGGAGGUGAUACAAAAUAUGAUGCUAUUCAAACUGUGUAUUAAAGUGUUUUUUAUUCAUGUCAGCAUUGAUUAUCUAAAAUAAGUCAUUAUAUCGGCACUAGUGUCCUUUGCAAUACACUGUUUAGUUCUACAUAUCUAUCUUGAGAAAUUGAAGUCAGUAUAGGAAUUGAGGACGCUGCUAAGCUAGUAUAAUAGCUGUUCUGGCUACCGCUUAUGAGACUCCGCCCAUUGAUUAAUGUUAUGAGACUCCGCCCAUUGAUUAAUGUAUUCGGUUUAACAACGGAUACCCAAUAUGAUGCCCUUACCCCAACCCAUACGUCUUUCCGCAGGUCUUACAGUCAAAGGGUUUGUUACGUCUUUCCGCAGGUCUUACAGUCAAAGGGUUUGUCGUGGGAAAUAUACAUAACCAUAUUUUGCACCGCGCAUAUCGUGUCAUUGAUCCUCGCCCCGCUUCCAUUUGUCUAGCAAUGAUAUAUGAUCUCCACAUAUGAUAUAUUGUAAGUAAGAAUCCAAUCAAUAAAUCAAGGUUUCGCGGGCGAACGAAUAUUCACUCCUUACUGUAUUAUUCCUAGGUAAACCCAUUACUUCUCCUAAUAAAGAAAGAUGUUCUCGGCAAGCUAUUAAUUGCCGCCAUCCCUACAAUGGAAUUAUUUGGAUUCGCUUUCCGUAGGUAUAAUCCUAUGCUGUUCACUGGUUCCUCAGUAGGUAUAAUCCUAUGCUGUUCACUGGUUCCGUCGUUCCCAUAGCUUAUACAUUAAUGGUUAGGCCUGAGUCCACUAAUAUCCUUUGAUGCCUAAUACUCCAUCUCCAUAGAUAGUUCGAAUUAGAUAGGAACAAUGAUCCACUUUUGCGCGAAUUGUUAGUAGGUGAACUACCCGCCCCUCUCUGAUCCAUUCGACACGUGCAAUUUCUUUGCCAUUGAUCUGACCUCUGCCAUUUUCACUGGAAAUCCUCUUGUUUAUAUCCGGCUUUCAUUCCUCUUGUAUCCGGUUGUUCUUCUAAUUCCAUAGCCUUUUCAUUGCCUAUUCACAACUACUGCUUGCUUGGCGUAUGGAAAUUGUAAAGAUAAAUGGAGCCAUAAUAUAAUGUAUAUGAGAAAUAUAAAGAAAUAGAGCCUCAUUGUUUAUAGCAGCCAUAAUAUGAGGUUGCUAUAGUCAAGGUUUUCUUGUGUGGAUCCAUUGUGGUUUGAAUCCUCGGCGGCACUUUCCAUUUAUUCUCUGAUUAGAGAUUCCAUUCGAGAAGCACCAGAACGAGGACAGCAAUAUGAUAUUCUUUUCUCUUUCCCUUUCAAGUAUCAGAAGAAUUCUCACUUGAUUGUUUUCGUUCGCAUUAUAACCCUAAAGCUCCUUACGGCAGGCACCCGAUGCUAUAGUACCUAAGUAGUCAGAUCAGAGAUCAGAAUAGAACUCACUGGUCCUGCUUCAUCUGUAUUUGCUGUAGUAGUUGACAUAGGAGAAGUAGAGUUACCAUAGGUAGAUGCGCCAGAGGUGUAGUAGCGUAGUUUCAUCAGUAUGAGUUUACAGAGGUAUCGGAUAAGAGCCCUUAUAUUAAGUCGGCUCAAUCAGCAGUCGUUGCUUGGCCCGUAUUUGAAGUAUUUGUUCACAGGGCUCAAGAUAUUCCAGUACUUGUUAACUUCUCAAUUCCCACUUCUCAAUUCCUAUAGAAACUUUAUGGCUUGCCCGGCCCUUUGCUUCGCGUCACAGUUCUAGCUGUAGGAUAAGAAGAGGCUGUUCACCCGAGAGUUAGUAGUGAUGAGUCUGUACAUUAUUAUUCUCUAACAAGUGUUACUUAUCGAAAGCUCCUUGUUUAGGGUUAACGUCUUGAAAGAGGUGAUUCUUUUGCUUGUGUCUAAGUCAGAACUUCAAUACGAGGUCAGGUCAGCAGAAACGCAAAGUGGAGUUAUUGUGUUGGCAACGAAAGAGAGAGAAUCCGCUGUUGUCGUAGGUGAGUUUAGAGUUUACCACGAGUCGAGAGAUGAGAAAUCCGUUGUUGGUUCUGAAGCGCUAAGUAGAUUAGCCAUACCAUAAUCAAAUAAGUCUGUAUGAACGAAAAUGAAACCAAUAACAUUAGGGUUAUCGAUCAGUAGUAUCAUAUGGAUCUGAAGCCUUAGAAGAUGCUGUGCUAAAGUUGUCUAUGAUAUCUUAUCUUUUGUAAUGCCCAAGUAGAGCGGCGGUAAGCAAAGGUUCAGCGAUAAGUAAAUCAGUGUCAAAGUAGUCAAUUGAAGGAAGUGCGUCAUGGUCCAAGCAUGAAACUGAAGUGUCCUAAAGUAGAGUUCUGUUCGAGGUAAAGUCAAAAGUGGAGUAUCCAGACUUUAUGCUCGAAGUCAAGUAUCUUAUCUAGUGGAAAGAGAGGAAGCUGUAAAGUACACAACUGAAUCCGCAGGAGAAGGUGAGUCAGCAGAAGAAUGGGCUGUUCCGUAUUACGUUUCAGAAUUCUUUGUUUACGUUACAGAUGAAGCAGUGGGGGCGGUAUAAAGGUUUAGUUCAUUGUCAGCAGCAAGCGGGUCAGGACCUUUUACCUGCAGCAAAGGGGUCUUAGGUCUGGUCUAUUGCUUGACGGGAGUAGUAUAGAUUAGGGGAAAGCUCCUUCUUUUCUGAUCGAAAGACACGACUCGCUAUCGCUAUAAAGGUGACAACCUAGGCAUUCCAAAGGAAGGUUAUUACAUAAGUCAUUAGAGCGAUGCCCCUUGCUUUGCAAAGAGUAGAGUUAUUCCUCUGGAGCGCAGGAUAGCCACUGACUCUUCCGAUUCAUUAAGAUAUAGGACAAGCAAAAGCCAACCCGUCAAAGUGAAGUAAGGUUCCGCAAUCGACGUAACUGGUUCAAAUACCAGAAGCUAGGUCAUAGAAGGUAGAUUCGAUUCGACAAUCUUAAGUAGUGGAGUAAGCCCUUGCCGGGAUACUCGACUGUCAGCCUCAGCUAAUCACUAGCUUCUUAAAGAAUCAAUAUCGUGUAAAGUGGGAAAGGAAGCAAAAUGCCAUCAUAGAGGGAUCAGCAUGUAAACUGGAAGGGCUAGGGAACUCCUUUAGCUCAAAGAAGGAUUUCGAAUUAGAGUUAUGGUCGAUCGGGGUAGCCUUACAUCCCUUUAGCUCAACGAAGGAUUUCGAAUUAGAGUUAUGGUCGAUCGGGCUUACCUCUUAGAUUACCCAAGCUAGUAAGUAAGCUAUUGGAUUUGGAUUGGAAAGCUAUUGGAUUUGGAUUGGAUGGAUCCCCCCAGUCCCAUAGUUCUGUAGUUACUGAAGGUAGAGUAGUAGACGGGCGAGGCCCACUGUUCUAAUCGGGAGCAAAAAGAAUUGACCUUGCUGCAAGUCAUCUGGUGGUGAAUCAUCUUUACUAUAGAUUGGAGAUCCUUCACCAUAUAUUCUAGCUGAUGCUGAUACCUUGACUUCUCUUUCCACCCGACCCUCUGCCUUUGCGCGCAUUUGGUGCGCUAUUGAAGAAAAGAACAAUUCCUAUCUAAGAAGAAUAUGACGUAGAUAAUCACAGAACGCUUCGCAUUGGCUAGCUUGCUUGGCCGCACACAUAUAGAUUCAAAUAGCCCAGAAAGUAGAUUCCAUCAUCUGCCUUUUGAUAAGAGUUUCGGUAUAGCUCUUCUCAAAGUGAGAGUUGGAAUUCUUCCCGACCAUUCCGAAGAGUAGGAAAAACAAACCCCAUAUGGGCUGGAUAUCUUCAAUACAACAAAGUAGAGUAGGUAGUCAAAGUAUUCCCGAUUUUUGGGAGUUGGCUCUACUCGUGUGCUCGAACUUUAGGAAGUGCUCUAGGUUGGGUUAUCGGGUGGCUUCCUCCUGCUUCGCCUUCGGGGACAGAAAGAAUGCCCGCUGCUCCAACUUUUACAAGCUAGCGAAAAGAAAAGGCUGCCUUAGGCGCAUCCGUUUACGAAUGAUAUCAUUCAAUAGACCUACAUUAGGGACUGGAAUACUCCUAAGGGGUGGUAAUCCGUAGAUCAAAAGAGAAACAUUGGUCCAAGAGGAGGAGAUCACCUAGCCGAAUUCCUUAAAUGGGCAAGACUCGGGUACUGCAUGCAAUAAGUCUAAUAUACUGAACUGACACAACUACAUAGAUCUGGAUUUAUUGGGGUGCGCAACCAUGGAAAUCUUUACUACAAAAAAGCCAUACCAUGAGUAUACAUGACCCAACCACCUAUCACUACCUAUAUAAAGCUUACAUCCCUGCUUAGGGAGUAUAGGUCAAUUUGAUAAGAAAAGUCAAAGGAAUCCGAGAAGACAAGACCCCAGAAGAGCAUCUCUUGUAAACCAAUUAUUCGAUCUGGAGAUCCAAGCAAGGCUGACGGAGACAUAACUAAACCCAGGGAUGUCUCUUGCAAAAAAAGAGGAAUUCGUAGAUCAUUUACAAGACAUGUACUGCCUACCCGAUGGAUAGAAUAUAGAAUUGACUCUCUGCCCUUAAUUAUAGAAUUGACUCUCUGCCACCUAUUAUUAGUAGUUGUAGAAUAGUCACCCUAUUUUGAUGUAGUAGUUGUAGAAUAGUCACCUUAUUUGUAUUAGUAGUAAUAGUCACCCUAUUUUGAUGUAGUAGUUGUAGAAUAGUCACCCUAUUUGUAUGCGCAUCCACACGACGGACACGUUCCAAGAUCUCCCGCAACGAUAACCUAACACAUGGUUUCUUGAUAGUAAGCUGAUUAAAUAAAUGGAUCAUAGGUUGUUGGUUGAAUAUUGAGUUCCGCUUAGGCUACGUGUUCUGUUCACGCGCUACUAAGCCGCACACAGGAUCUUCGACGGGUUUCGUCCCCUUUCGGGAACACCUUCUUACUUGUAGGGUCGGGGAAUGGGGCUAAGCCUGAUGCAAAUAUACCGAAAAAAGAAGAUAUCUAUGGUCGGAUUCGUAUAAGAGUAGAUUCGCCCUUUAUGUUAUGGCUCGUCCGUCUCGCGCUUAGUCACUCGCUGGGAUAGGGGAGCAGCAAGUCUUUUCUGAGAGUUUCACCUUAUAGCUUUCAGAAUGCAAUCUAGCGUUCCUAGUAAUAGAAUGGAGUAAACAACCAAACAAACCUCACUGCUUGUUGAAACCAACCCCUCACCACUGCUUAAAGCUAUUACCCCACGUAGCGGUAGCUUACAUCUUACUGAUAACUAUUUCCUUUAAUCACUCGUAUCGGCAGAGGAACCCCAUACAAAUGACUAACUAAAGGCAGAGGACUAACAAAAGGCAGAGGACUAACAAAAGGUAGAGGCCGAGGCUUAGGGUUCAGCGAAAGAUAAGUAACCUGACUCAACAAACAAGGGAACAAGACUCAAUGCAAACCUAAUUAUAGUACGGGAGCAGCUCAAUCCCUAUUUUCAGAUGCGUAUCCGUAAUAAAUGCAUUCAUAAGUUGACUCGGCGCAACAAGAAAGAUGACUGGUUGGUUGACUUGCGAGUUAGGGAACGGAGUGGAUAGUUUACAGGGUAAGUGAGCAGCUUGAUUACAUUCAUUCCUAGGAUAUAGGCGGGGGAGAGAGAUUCGGCAAUUCGAGAAGAAACAGUAUCAAUUUCGUGCGAGUCCUGUGUGAGCUUGCGCGUCAGUGGUUCUUUUCAUACAAGGACUUUCACUACAAAUACAGAAUCCAAGUUUGUUAGCCAGAGGCGGGGGAGAAGUCAAUUCUAACUGCAGAGUUUGGGGGUGGGUAAGGAGACUUCAAAUAAGGGUUAACCAACACCCCUUCUGGAUAGUAUCAUUCCUAUACAAAAGAAAGGGCUAAGGUGGGUCUGCCAGUACCUUUCUGAACUCAACUCAGUGGAUUUGACCGAGGGGAACGGAAACUACCUUUCCUUUAAAGACAGAGCUACGGCAGCUAAGGCAUGAAGAAAGAAAUGAGGAAACUUUAUAUGCAGUAGUUGAAUCGACUUCUCUGGUUGACAAAACAAUAACAGAGGUAGGUUCUGGUGUUGGCGAAAGUACAUCUGCCCGGAAGUCUAUUUCUGUUCUAAAGUCAAGUUAAGGUGUUGAAUUAGCAGGUAAAGAAGAUGGAAUUGAUUCUUUGUCUACGGGUGGUAAACUAACCUUCGCGACGUAGCAUCAGAUACAGGCCUGGCGAGCCCUUCAUGACUAAAAGAUGGGACUUAUAGUACGGACUUGUAGUUGCUUGGUCUUACUAUGUUACUUGGCAGCCUUUCUAAGUUGUUUGGCUCUUUGUAGUAUGGACUUGGUCAUUAUACUAAUAAGCUUGUUCGGUAUAUGAUAGCGGUAGUAUUGUUUCUUUGGGUGCUGUAAACUCAGUAAGCGUAAACAAGCAAAUAAGCAACAAACUCAGGACUCCGGACUCUAAUCUCCAAAACUCGGUAACCUAAACUCGCAAACCCCAUAGAGGCACCCAGAACUCCCUUUCUGGUUCUGUUUACUUUACGGCUUCCCCAAAGCUUCUGGACUCAGUUAUGACUUUCAUCUAAAAGCUUCUGAGACUCUAAGGAGGAGCAUUGCUUCCAAACAACGCCUAAUGCAAAACAGCAUCCCUUUCUUUGGCUUCUAAACUAUCUUAUGGAAAAUGGAGUGCACAAACGAAUGGAGGCAUAACAGCAUUGCUUCAAGACUCCUGACUCGUUGCUCUAUAACUCGAACCCUUUACCCUUAACAACAAAAAAACACUUCAUUGCUUUCCUUUGGCUUCCUAUCUUCCAAAGCUCACUUACAUACUUAGGCUUUCGCAGUUGCCUUGUUCAUUCCGCUCGCUAAGCACUUGUUCUUUCGCAGUUGCUUGUGCUGCUACCUACCCUUUGUAUUAAGAAUCACAUAAUCUUUCUCGGAUAAGACCUCUGAUCUUUAUCGGGAUAAGACUUCUUUUCUUUAGCGGCAUAAUACCACUGGCAUAAUACCACUGCCCGGACUUCACUUUGCAAGAAAGGUGCAGUUAACACCGCCUUAAAUCAAAUCUCUGUAUCCUAUAGAAUGUCAGUUAGUAACAACACUGCAAACUCCAAUCAAGUAAAAGAGUAUUUUAGAGCUUUACACAUAUUGAGAUUAAGUCAAGUCAGUCUAUUAAGUGUCAUGUUAUUCUUGUGCACUUAUAAGAAUCUUCUUGUUUUUCGGUUCGGUGUGUUGGUUACGUGGAUUAUGGAAUGAGUGAGUUAUAUUAUAUUAUUAAGUAGAGUAGAGUAAAGAAGAGUAUAUGUGAGUGUGUGUAAUUUGACUAUAUUAUAUGCUAUGCUACUUAUUUAUUUAUUUAUUUCAAGCAAUGUCAAUAACGGCAAGAAUCAAGUACUUUUUUGUCUAGGCUAGGGUUAGGAAAGUUAGCAAUGCAGUUUGUUUUAGUUGUUCCAUUGAUUCAUUUCCUCAUCCUCUUGUGCCAUGCUCAUUGUUGCCAAUGUAUCCAUCUGUCUAUGAAAGAAAGGGCUUCAUACCUCGGGGUAGCGUCCACCAGUCAUUCUGUAAUCGGAAGAGUAGGACAAGGCGUUCAAGUAGUGCUUUCCCUCAGUAUUUCAACACUUAUAAGCAUAGCUUAGGGAUGGAGUAAUAGUGAUGACCAUAUGCUAUACCUGUCUGGAUGCUAUACCUGUCCGGAUGCUAUACCUGUCUGGGCUAAGGCAGUUUUCUAUAAUCACAGCAAAGGUUUAGACCAUAGUGGAGUGUAAAUGGGCCAAGCAACGUAGCCUCUGUUUCAUGCACAAUAAAUGAAUUAGAAGCUCUAUUAGGCGUAUGACAUGAUGGAUUUCCAAGAAAACGACUCCUGUUAUGUUUUAGUGCAUUUGACACCUAUAUCUUUAGGGCCCAAACUAGAAUAUCUUCUGGUACACGACUAGACUCUACUUCUGGUACACGGCUAGACUGGAUGCAUUCUUGACCUGCUUACUUACCUGCACCUAAUCCUUGCAAGAGGGAGUCCCCACUACUAGGAAAACACGGAAUUCAUUUCAUUAUAAUAUAAUAUAGAAGAGCAACCGAGCAGACAAGAAACUACAGUCGGUUAUCCAUUAAGAUGUCAUUAAAGUAUCUGCAACGCGCGCAACUCUAAAUCAGUUGUUGGUUCCUCCGCAUAAGGAUCUGUUGUUGGUUCUUACGCGUAAGGAUAAGGAUCAAGUUGGCUAUGUUGCUUGUUUAGGAGAAUAUUGCUAGAGCAGUUGUCUUGACUUAACUCCCUUCUUUAAGAGCAUUACCAAUAAUGACCGACUAUAUGAAACUGACUCAGGGCUGCUAUCUUUCUUUAUUGGCUAAAUGCAUUAGAACAGCCGUAACACUUUACCUCAAUUAGAUCUAUCUCUUUUACAUAAGCAAAGUCAGACACAGAGGCUUAGAAAAAUAGGGGUUAAUCACUACGCGGGGCAAUAGGAAGCUCAGCGGGAAAGAAAGCUGGGGGUUCAUCCUUUGUUACUUCUAUGAUCUUAUUAAAUAGAGUGCGUGCUGCGGUAAGUGACUCAUUCUUUACUAGCGCUUAGUGCAAUGUAGUGCUUUGUUACUCAAUUCUCAAUUCCCAAAGCAAGAGAGAGAGAGCAAUUCUCAAUUCCCAAAGCAAGAGAGAGAGUGUUUUGUUACGGCUCUCGGUCUAUAUUAGGGUAGCUAUCUUCAAUUCUUUCGAACUAUACUGAACUUCAAUUGGACAACUUGGACUACAACUUGAAGGGGCACAGGUGAACUCUGGACUCGGUCAAAUAUGUAGUUAUUUGUAUUAAUGAAAUCUAUCUCACCCACCUAUAUAAAAGGAAUGGAGUAGCUUUACUGAUCCUGAGCUUUCACUGUAAACCCGACCUCUCCUUGAAUACGAAACAGGACUUGCCAUAACCAAUUGUUGCUGACAAAGAGUGAACUCUCCUUUCAACAGCUUCAUUUCUUUCUUAUGUUGGGCCUAGACCUGGACUAGACCUGGACCUGGACCACGCAGACAAGCGCAAAAGCAAAGAGAGAAGAGAACUCGACAAGCAGUACUAGAUAGAGCAGAAGAGUAAUAUAAGGGAGUUUAGUAUAGAGGAAGGUCUAAGUUAUUAGGUUAAUAUGCUUUAGAACAGCCAACAAGCCGAUCAUCCAAUUCCCAUUCUAAUACAAAGGAUCCGGGUAUAUAUAUAAGAUAGUAAAGACAUAUCGAGUGAACCCUCGCGCCCGUAUAUAUAUAAGAUAGUAAAGACAUAUCGAGUGAACCCUCUCGCCCAGCAGUAUAUCUUGUUUCUCUUCUCUCGUCAACUCUCAUAGCAGUGCGGAUUAUUUUCUUUACGACAACAAAGGUCAACCCAAGUCAAGUAUCCGAACCAAGUAUCUGAACUAGCCUUAACAAGCACCGCAUCAGUUUCCGCGGACGCCGUCAUUUCUUUUAGCGCAGAAAGCCCGCAGGAAAAUAUUUGCAUCAUUCAGAUCGGAUUGCCCCAACUUAUCUAAUAGCUUACUUGACUUACUUAACUCGCUCGCACCGCCCUAACUACCAGAAACCAUUGUAUUUGGACCACUUAGCCCUUAGUAAGUACUAUAUUAUUACACGGAACUGCUUGCUUACUUAAUGGAAUCUCUCUAUCGAGUAGCCCUAUAUACCUAAAAGCUUAUGAUCUAGCUGAUUCUAUUGUUUAUAAAACUCUACUUUCCACUUACCUUCCUUUACUAUUAAUGGCGGGCGUCAGCGGGCUUCAGAAGCUAGUCCUGUUUCGGGCCCAGACUCUGUUUCAAGAUUAUAAACAAGAUCAGGAUCAUCGGCAGCAAUUCCAGUUUAGGUCGGUGAAGAAGCUCUUUACUCUUAAGUGCUUGAGCUUUACUCAGUUGUGCUUUACUUUCUUUCAUCCAAUUAAGAAGCCUCAUCUCAGUUCUCAUGCCUACUAUGCGGUGCUUGCCCUUAAGUUAAUGGUGUUGGCGAGUUGCUUAUUGCGGGACAAUCAGUUUACCUUUCUUAUGACCCAACUGCCAAUAACGGAACUAACUCCCUAACAGAGACCAGAGUGUUUUAAGUACUUAGCGCUGAUGAAGGCAAUAAUCCAAGUCAAGGCCAGAAAGGAAGAUCCAAAAAGAUUAUAUGCGAGUCGAAACACGUAUAGAAACAUUCGUCACCAAACCACCGUUACUUAAGGCAAAGGCAGGAAAGAGGAGAAGUAUGACUCUAAGAGGUCCUAUGUUCUUAGGCUCAAAUUCAUUUCAAGCAGGGUUCAUGUCUUCGAAGCAACAGAGUAAGCAGCGCCGAGAUCAGGAUUAGAAGAUUGGAUACGGAUCAAAAGCUAGAUCGAGAUCUGGCCCAGACUCCGUUUCAAGAUCAUAAGCCGAAUAAAGAGAUGGAUCUGAAGAAGGAUCAUAUGAAGCUGCAAGCGCUAAUAGAAAAGGGAAUUAAUGAUUUGUUGACAGUGGGGGUAAGAGAAAGUGUAAGUAAGGCAGUUUAGAGUCAAGGGCAGCGAGGUGACUUUCCCCGGUCAAGGGAGUUUUGGUCGUUAAUAGUGACUUGGCCGUAAGCAAAAACUCCAUUAGCACCUAACCGAAGUCGGCUUGUCUGCGUACCUGCUGGGUGGUUCAAAACUCACAGGACUUUCGAGCAGAUUAGAUUAUCUUCAAUGUAAAGGCAGUAGGCUGAGUGCUCAGUAAACUCAAUUUCCAAGAAAAGAGGAAAAUCUAUCUCGCAUAAGAUAUAAGUGCGGAACCAUACUUGACUUAUGACUUUGAAAGCCCUCUAUACGCUUGAAGAAUGGAAUAUAGUUCAGGUUGCUCUGAUUGGAAGCUAACCUUUACCACGAACUCAACUAAUAGACAUUGGCAGGUUUACCCCUAAUAGAAAUGGGCCGGAAAGACUGACUAAUGCUAUAGGGCGAACUCAACUAAUAGACAUUGGGUACCCCGGAAAGAAACACUAAGGAAAGAAACACAAAGAACUCAACUCGACGAUGAAGACAGUAACUCACUAAUGCCCCUAAAGUCAGGACAGUAUACUGAAAUCUAUGCUUAAGUAAGGACAUUUUCCGGAAUUCUAUGCUGAAGUGAGCACAUUUGACUUUCUACAGGGCUAAGCAGUUAUUCUUUGAUGCUUUUUUCUUGAGUUUGCUAGCUUUACGGAUGAGGUUGCUUAUUUAUUGAAAGAUGAAGUUGCUUGUUUACUUAAAGAAAAGAACUCACUCAUAUCGUAGCAGGUUGCUCUCUUCUGUUUGAGGUUUAAGGCCCUAGGCGCUGUAACUCUACGACUUGUUCCCUUGCGUAACUCGCCUAAGCGCAACUAACAACUAAGCUUGUUCCUGGAAACAUACUCCUUGAGGAGAAUAUCGUCAAAAGACUGCUGACUGCUUGAAUUCAAGUAAGCUAACACGGCUGGCUUCCCCAAAGCUUCUUUAUCUCUUCCACUUCCGGGAUCUAGCUUAAGUCUAGCGUAUAGUCAAGAGCGCAGGGAAUUAAUUGAGUGCAAAAGAAUCCGUUACUUUAGGAUUAUGAAUUAAGUGCAAAAGAAAUAGGGGCAUAAGAGCUUGAAGUUGUUUGCUUGUUCUCUCAGUACCUAGCGCUUCCAUUCCUAGAACCGAUUCUAGAAAAUACCCCCGGAUUCCAUUGCCCCUUUGAAUGCAGACCGAACUCAAUUGCUAGAAUGUGCCCUUUGACUCCUGUGAACUCCCUUAACUAUUACCUUAGCCCAACAAGCAAGCAACGAUCCAAAUUGGAAGUAGCGCUUACGAAGCUAUUGUUUAGUUUCAAUGAUGGAUUUGGCAUUAGCUACGUAUAACCUAAGUUCUUAGACGAGAAAUAAGGAUGUUGUUGUUAGUGAAACUCUUAUCCCGGUAAACGCGAGGGACGCUUCACUCACGGUUGACUUCUCUUAUUUCUUAGAUUUAGAGAGGCUUGGUUUUGAUGAAAGAGGUACAGCUGGCUUUUGAUGAGACGGGUACUGCCGGACUCCUUAGGUUGAAAGGGGCAGGAGAUUGCAUAUCGGUACAUCAACUCUCCUAGUGUUGUUUGAUUUCUACUAAACCGAAGGAGAUGGGUUGACUGAAGGAAAGAGUGCUUCUUCGACUUGUGUGAAGCCGGGACGAGUUGCCCGAUCUGCACAGAAACUUUGGAGCCCAAGGCAGGUCGAGGUGUGAUUUGCCCUGGGGUGUCAAUACCCUUUCCUUUGGUUAAUCACCCGAUUAUUGAUCCCUUUCUGUACCCAACAUAAGAUAGAGGUGAAAGAAAUCGAUAAGUUAUAGUAGCAGAUGAUAAUAGAGAAGUUAUAGUAGCAGAUGAGAUGGUGCAAGAGAUGAUGAGAAGAACUAUGCUAGCUCUACUGAGAUCGAGGGAAUAAUAAGGCGCAGGCAAGUACGCUAGCGAACCAAGGGACAAAGAAAGGGUCAAAAGUGAGUUCGUUGGGGCCUAUAGUCAUUCCUCUCUCUGGUAGCAAUCCGGUCUGCUGUCGGGAGGAAGGAAGGCUAGCAGUCCUAUCAGUGCCCUUAUGCUAGCAAGCAAAGAAGCAGUGGGAGUCAAGGCAGUCUGUGCUUUCUAAGGCCUCUAUGCAAGUCUGUGCUUUCUAAGGCCUCUAUGCAAGUCUGCCCUUUAUUUAUAGAUAGGAGCCCCUCUCUGGUAGAAAUGACUUCUCCACUUACCAACGCUAUCUGUCCAACUAGAGAGAAAAGGCUUGCAAACAGGGCAACGGGGACCAACCAAUCUCACAAUCCAAAGUGUUCCAGCUAAGAAUCCGAAGUAGCACGGGAAGGGCAAGUCCUCUAUUAGUGUUCAUUUGUCAAGAGCGUAAUCUGUUUGGCUUAGUAUACCGGAAAAGGAAGAGAAGAAGGUAUAUACUACGAAUAUCUUCUGAUUCGCGGACGCUGGAAGACUUAUUUCGAGGGGACUUAUUUCGAGUCCGCCCUUAUUCUUAUUAAAUGAUUGAAGCUGCAAAAUACAAAUAUAUGAAAGAAACGGGGUGAGCUCAGGUGGCCGUCCACCUUUGACUUGAAACUGAUUUGACUAAUUGCUUGUCUUGUGCAUGUUUCGUGCAAGCUAGAAUGUUCCGUAGUUAAGUCCCUAGGAAAGAUCCAAAAAGGUAGGAAAGAAACGACUGUUUAUUUACAGGUUUUGGAAGGUGUUGAGUCCAAAUCAAAGGGGUGCUUUUUUCCUUUCCUCGCCAAGGAGCAAAUAGCCUUCGCGCCACCCGCCUGAAAUGAAAGAAAUGCAUGAGUGAAAGACUAUUAAAGUACUCAAUUCUUUAUCAGAGCUCAAACCAACCAGGACUUCUUAUGAAAGCUUUCUUUACGUCUUUAUACGCGCUCUAGAUUACUAUUGGCUGGCUGUUUGACCAUAAGGGUAAGGUUGGUGCGUUGUUGUCGCCCGUAGGCACCUGAAGUGUAUAGGAACUCCCCGCUUAAACACUAAGUCGGUUGAGUCGCUCGGCUUAUCACACUGGACUUUACGCCUAGUUUAGCAAGUAUAUGUAGAAAGCGCCUUUUGUCAAAGUUCUUUCUUUCACCUUACUUAUCUUAAAAACCUAACUACCUGAGAGAACGGAGUCUGCUAAUUGUAGAUUCAGAACAGAAAUACAGGAGGGUCAGAUCACAAUGGGUAAGCAAGCCUUGCAGUGUUACCGCGCUAGCAGACACCGGCUACCCCAAAGAGUUCAAAAGAAAGAAAGCCUAAAGAAAAGAAAGACCCUUCCAUUAUGAGACGUUAUUUCCAUUAUGAGACGUUAUAUUCACUUGCAAUCCCUUACGCAAUGAAUCCAAGUUGAGAACUUUCGGCAGUGUCCACUCAAGAGAACUCUUUCAUCCUAAGAAGCAGAGACCGUAGAAAGUAUUAUGCAACUUUAACUAGAAAGCAGACUACUUAGAUAGAAAGCAGACUACUUAGAUAAUAGUUAUUCAUGUAAACAUACCUACGGAAAGGAAAGAUCUUAUUAUAAAGGAGAAAGCCAAGCCAGUGAGACCAGAGAAAUCCAGUAUGGUUACAUAAAGAAGAAGAACCAGUUGCCAGAGGAGGCUAUGAAAUAGUUGCCAGUGAUAGCUUUGGCAAGCUAACGGAAGGAUCGAGGAGAAAACGAACCUCUUGUCAAUAAGUUUUCAUAGAGAAAAGUAAGCGAGUGGAAUAAAUGGAACGAGUAUAAGGGCGAGUUUGUAGGAGAGUUUUCUAAGUGUUCAAAUUGUAGUAAGCUAGCUUUAGUUCCGCUCUAAAGCGAGUGUGAGUUUCGUUUAGAAUCCUGUCUUGUAGGGGAAGUAAGUAGAGUCAAUAGAUUGGAAUAAGUCCUUGUUUCUUUCCCUUUUACGUUGAGGGAGCUAGUAAUGUAAGUGCUCGUAAUAAAGAGAGUAUAGGAUAAUAUGGCCCCGUAAUAAAGAGAGUAUAGGAUAAUAUGGCCCCAAUGAUAGCACGAGCACGGAAGCCCAUGAAGUUGGUUUAAAGCCACAAGCCUUUGAAGGGCCCGGCAGUUUAAGGUCUCAGGUCGUCCGGAGUCAAGUUCCUAUUAAGGAAGAUAAGAUGUUACAGUUAUCAUUACAAGGAUCUGCCAGCGGUCUUUGAUUGAAAGAGUGCGGUACCGGUACGAAUGACUUUAUUUAAUUAGAUAGCCCCUCCUCUAAUUCCACGAAUAGAUUCGAUCCCUUAUCUUCUUUUUGACUCUUUUCUUUCUUUCUUUCUUCUUGAAGAUUGCACUAGUUUUAUUAGCCUUAGUUUUCUUCUUUUGUUGAGCCUGCCUACCUUUCUUUCUUUCUCUCUUCAUCUCCGAAUAAUUGGUAAGUGGAAAGCUUCUUUCUCUCCUCAUCUCUGAAGAAUUGGUAAGUGGAACCAGUCAUGAAGCACCGGGGGCCAUGGGAUAACCUAUGGGAUAAAAGCUUCCUUCGAUAUUUCCUAGUUUGAUAAUCCUUGAGAAAGAUAAGCAAGGUGUCCAUCUGGGGAUUCAUUCCUAUCCGAGAACGGCUUCACCGACAACAUGUGGCAAAAACGGUCUUUGUCGGUGGCCUUGGAAAUAGUGGAAUGACCUUUCCAAUCCAUAAGAAGAGUGCGCCUUUCCCUGUAUUGGAACGAUUUAGUAAUGCCUUGAAUUUCCAAAUGCCCAAGAGUGGAGUUACAAAUUGCUUAUUGGGAAUCUUAGCUUCGCCUUAGUAUACAGGCAUUCCCGAGUCUCUGCUAUUUCCUAUAUCGCUGGGAGAUUAGCAUUUCGAAACUCAUCAAAAGUACGGCAUAGAAGAUUCGUGGCUUUAGUCAAAAAGCAUUCCCCUAGGAGCGAGUCCCAUUUGUUCGCUUUCGAAAUCAAAGUGGGGACCAAUCUCGAUUCAAGUUGCUCAACUUAUAAAGCUUUCCGCUACUAAAUAUAAAGAUCAUUAAGUAGCCUAGCCCUUGGAAUCAAUCUCUUUUGUCGGGGAGCUUGCCGGGUAUGGUAUGAGCUUCUAGUUCCAACAACAGCAGAAAUGGCUUAUGUCUCUCUGGGAAAUUCCCCUCGGGGAACGGAACUCCCUUCCGGCAACAGAUUCCGCGGACGAAGAGGAAUGCGACCCUUUGCUUGGCUUAUUUAAGUAAAUACAGACUGGCUCGCUCCCCACCUGGAAAGAAAGGGAAGCUUAAUCGAAGUUGCUUCCUAUUAACAACCAACAAAGAUGGAGUCAGUCUUAUGCGUUUAUGCCUAACCCCGUGAGUCAUUGCACUUCUUUAAAUGAAUAAGAAGAUUAUGCCUUCCCAAGUAGAGGCAUAUAGAUCGUUACUGUCUCACACCCGGGAGUAAAUCACUUGCUAGCUUACUACUUACUUAGCUGAGCUCUUUAGCAGCAGAGACCUUUCACAGCAACAGUUAUGCGGCGUUAGGACAGCGACUACUGCGUGUUUAGGCCUGCUACGGUUAGCUCCUUAGAAAGACACCUACAACUAUUAACCCUAGGACAGCUCCUCAUUGCGGCGAUUCACAAUAAGUGGCGUUAAUAGCACCGAACGAUAAGGAUUGGAUUGGGUUCCGUUAAGGUCACCUAGAGGUUUCUUUCAAAUCCAUCACCCUAAUGCCAAUCGAGCUUGUCUUUGAGCACUCAAAGUAUUCAGCAAUACAAGGCCCGACAGGAGUUUCCGUUAUACUAGAGGCGAAGCAGGGGUCACUCAAGUAUAUAAUAUCAAUUUCUUAUCUCGGGGUGCCCUAUACGUGAUGGUCAAUUCGUUUAAGCAAUUAAGUAAGCUCUGAAAAGAUUCCAACCAGUCUUAUAGAUCCAGAUCCACUGCUAGCUCCACUUCCUUUCUUCACAUCUUUGAGAAAUAAUAAUACCCCAAGAAAAGACCGCCCCAGCUGGUUUAGGCUUUUGGAGCCAAUGGGAUUACUCUGGGACCUUACCUUUCUGUUCAUUCUUUGUUUUCUUUAAGGAGCUUAACCUAGCGAGUCAAAAAGAAAGAGGUUAUUGACCGUGUGCCUGACUGUAGAGCGUAUUCUUUGACUUCAAAAAAGGUAGAAUUGCACUUAUAGGGCCGUCAAGGUCAAAAGACAGAUUCUCUUCUCUUUCUGGUUCUGGACCAAUACAAUAGUGAAAGAGUCCGGCUCUUAGCGCAAAGUAGCUCGGGGAGAAUCCGCUCUUGUCUCUUCUUUCAGAAGCUAGUAUAAAUCCACUGAAUAGGAAAAAAUCCUCCUAGAUUAGAGCAUCAAAUCCUCAUUAGUAUUAAUGGGGUUACGAAAGGUUUAGUUUGAGUGGAGGCAGGUCCGUUUCUAAGGUCGAGUGCCUAGACCUACUCCUUAGUUUGGGAAAACGACCAAAAGCACUAGGUGUGAUCGAGCUCUUGUUCGUAUAGUACUCAUCUUAUUUAUUCCAUACUGGAUCGUGAGCUACCUUCUAAAAUAAGUUCAUUCGGCGGCAUAAGCUUGCCGUUAAGGUCAAUUGAUGAGAAUGAUGUAUUUGAGUUUGGGGACUUACUAUUCUUCCUCUGGACGUUCGGUUCGAGCUAUUUAGAAAAUGGUUAUUAUACUAUACUCUUUCUUGAAGUCUCGACUGUCUCCACCGGGGACUCCUCUUAGUCCCAUCCAAGCAUAUCUACGAGACCUGCAUAUCCCACUUAUUCGACUGAGCAAUAAAAGAAUGGGUGAAAUGCGGAUUGAAAGCAUUGAUUUUACCUUACCUCUGAUCUUGCUUAUGGAAUUGAAACGUAAGGAAUUGACCCGGACCUUGAUUAUGAAUCUGAUCCAGAUACUGCUGAUUCCAUCUUUCGUCGCCAAUACCAAGAUAAGACUUUCCUUGCUUCCACUGAUUCAUCAGAUUCUCUUAUUCCAGUAUCUUAUCGAACUUAUGAUUCUUUUGUUCGUUCGUACAGCAAUAUUCUAUCGAGUUCCGUAUCCGGCUCCAACUGCUCUAGCAUCUUCACCUGCUCCAGCAUCCUUAACUACUCCAUACAUCCUUAACUAUUCCAUACAUCCUUAACUACUCCAUUUAUAUACAGUUGAUGAUCGAGUUCCCACUUCUUCUGAGGAUCCCGCUUCUAAUUCCUAUAAUUCUCCAGAUCUUGAGAAAGCUUCUGAUCUUUUGGCUUAUUCUUUAUCUUCUAUUGUUCUCCAACUCAAUAUUCUUCUCCAGCUCCUGCCGAUGAUCUAGAUAAGCAUCUGAUAUGGUUCCCGCUCUUCAAACUCUGGAUUCUCCUUCGGAAGCUUCUGCGCUCGACUCUAAAUCUGGUAUUCAAGCCUAAAACUAUCAAUAGGGUAUUAAAGCUUUCAACUAUCCAUAGGGUAUUCGAGCUUUCAACUACAAAUCAGAUGCUAACUAUAAUCCAUGACAGUUUUCGGGAGUUAUGCAUUAGUAUGAGUGAAGAGCAAGUCCUGUGUCCGCCUGUUUAAGCCCUCCCUUUUAAGUCAAUAUUUGAAGUACCUAACCUAGCAGCCCUAGAUAAGAUGUCAUUUGGUUCAUGCCAUCGGUACCUGCCAUUAAGAAAGAAAAUGGAACUAAAGCAUUUCACUCUCCAAUAGGAAACUGUUGGUUGAUGUAGUAAGUAAGAGAAACAGCCGGGUGUUUCAUGAGUGGUAUCCUCGAGAAUGAGUAGCACCUUGCAAUCAUACCGAAAUCGUAUUUCCUUUUUCACCUUAGAGCCUACUACUAAUUGAAGUAAAGAAAAGAUAGAAUCAAAGACAAGGGGGCAGGAAAGGCGGGACCACAUAUAGCACAUAUAGGUUUGAAAGGAGCAAGCCCGGGAACAAAACCAAGAAAGAACUGGCUAAUAAGUAAGUCAAACAGUCAAAGGCAGGAAGGGUUGUUUGGGGAACGGUAGCGCAAGUCUUAUCUUAUCUUAGUUUGGGGAGCGUGGGUCUUGUGGCGAAUAGUUAGAUUCGGUGCACUGAGUUAAAGUAUCGGUAGUAUUUUAGUCAUUCUAUCUUAUAUCUAGUAGUUACAGUCGGAGAAGCUAGUUACAUUCCUUUUAGUAGUAGCUCGAGUCUUGUUACCAGCUGUUAUAGGUUUCAAGCAGAGGUACAGAGUUCGAAAGCAAGUACAGUAGGGCUAAAAGCAAAGGCAGCUUAAGUGUCAGUAAAGCCAUCCUUGGUACAUAGGGUCCGGUAGCCUUUAAUGGUAACCCCAAAUUCGAAUAUGGUGGGGGAAAAGAGGCAGAAAUGAAUAUACGCGAAAAGACUACCGCGAGCCAUACUCAACCUAGUAGUAACGAGAAUAAAUCAAAUACAUAAUAUAGAGGUACGGCCCAACGCCUAAGUGGUAUAAUCAGAGAAUGCAACCAGUGCUAUUGGAAUCAACCACCAUCAACAAUACUUUAACUAAGAACUGGGGCUUGCUUUCUUUAUUGCCCGCUAGCAGACUUAUACUCAACACUAAGAAGCUUAUAAUAUGUUAACUCACAAAUAGGAAUCGAGCGACUGUCUCUAAUACCUCAACUCAGGAGCCGGAUCCUCACUUUCCAAUAAUCUAUUUUGGGUGGUUGCGCUAUGCCAGCCUUACUCAUAAGCUUAGCAAUCAUACUAUCUGUAUCGGUUCCCAAGCCUUAUUCGUUAGCUCCAUCGUUCUACGCCUCCUCUGCGACCUCCCUCUCUCUUGACCAAACCUAUCUAUUUUUCCUAUUAUUGUGUUAUCGUAUAGUCAAUUAGGCUUGGAAUUGGAUAAGGUUAAUAAGAAUCGAAUCGUAGGUUUGUUGUCGAGCAAGGAAAGUAAGCCCUAGAGAUAGGAAGUACAUACUUAGAUAGAGGAGUAACAUGCUCGUGGAGGAGCGUUUCUGCUGGUGUUCUGUGCGUGGUUCCUUUUCUUCGCAUUUUCAUUCUAAUUAGUGGGUAGUCAAUUCUUUCUAGUAUAGGUUCAAUUCCCUAUAGUCAGCAGUUCAAAGCUGAUGUUCACUAUUAUAUUAUUAUUAAGUACCCAUUCUUAUAACCCUUAUUUCCAUUCUGAUGCUCUUACAACUUCUAUUCCGUAUUGCUUUAUUGCUUGGUCGAUUCUUGUCAAUAGUUUAGUUCCAUUCCUUUUAGUAGUAGCACGAAUCUAGUAUACCCAAUAGCAUUCUCGUUGACUCCAUCAACAGGCCAGGCCGUCUUCCCAUUAUGUUACUACAGAGUUUCAUUCGGUUGAGUAAGAGGUCAACCACAACUUAAUUGCUACUGGCAAGCUACUAUACUACUAUCGGAAUCAAACUAGCAACUCUGUAAUUGAUGAUAUUGGCCUGAUAGCAAAUCUGUCUGCUUCUGCUUGUUGGCUUGGCUCGGUUGCCUUUGUAGUUUCUUACCUUUAGGAGAGGAGUCCUGUGAACUAGUAUAUAAGGGCCCGGGUUUUAUUGACAGUGACUAGGCUGGUUCUCUUUACACUCUAGUAGUUUCCUGCCCCUGUGACUGUUGGAGUUAGAGAAGAAGACCGGUUAGUAGAAUAUUCAGAAUUCACCUAGUCAUCAAUAAGAUAGGUAGGCACGGGAAGCAGUGUAUUUAAUAAGAAGAAAGGGAAGCAGUGAGUCUACCAUUUAUUAUAAGGGCAGAGGCUAGAUCCGGAGCUGGCUUAGUCUUAUUGGGUGCUAGUGUUGUCGGUGAAGAAAGGAUAUCGGUUGGAAGUAGCAGUAGCAAGAGGAGAAGUAGAUUAGUUUACCCUUCUUUCUUUAAGUGGUGGUGCCAGUCCAGUAGUCGUGUCUUGGCUGUAGCCUGAGGUAGAUGAGCCUGAGUCGAGGUCUGCAAGGGAACCCGCAUCUGUCCUUGCCUUGAUGAAGUAGAGUCUAUUUGGGUUCAAAUGAAAGGAGAGUUUCAUCAUACUAAGAAGAAGAGGCGAAUACCGGUGCUAACUUAAGCCAGUUCCGUAGUGAGUGACUUCCAACUUUGAAAACUGGUAGAAGUAUAAGAAAAGGCCCUAUACUACAUUGCUAUCGCAUUAUUGUUCCUUGAAACCAACCCAUGGGCAAUGCACUUAUACAAGAUUUCAUCCAGUCCACACUCCUGUCCAGUUAAGUUGACAUACAGGUCUUUCUAUUAGAUUGAGAAGAAGGCCUCGGGUCGUUUUAUAGCUUAUGUAGUUCAUCAUGCCUUUUCUUUUCUAUAGAAAGAAGACAUAGAACCUCUUGUUCACGCCCGCCCGUAUCAAAGGACAAUUGACCCGAAGCGAGAGUCCCUUUUCUAUCAGGUUCUUCUUCACUCGAGAUAUUCCAUGUUGUAUUUGUUGAGACAGCAGUAUUUGCCAGCAGUUAUAGGUAUAGCAUUAGAGAGUUUCUAGGUCAAUUCCUGGAGUGGUAAAUUCCAGCUUAUCUACCACAUGCUUGUUUAGUUCUACUAUACGCUCUAGGGGCUUGCUCUUGCGAAACGGCAGCUAUUCCUUUUUCACGUGCGUCGAUUCAACAAGUGGAGGUCGGGUCUUCUACUAUCCUGCCUAUCUUAUCCUAUCCUUCCUAUAUACAGAAGUGAAUGAUUUGUUUCUAGUUUCUAGGUCACAGUCAAUUCCGAAUUUCAUUUAUAUUCAAAAGAUAGAGAUUCCAUUGAUUAACUUCAAGUAGAAGCCAGGUCGGCAAAAGAAAGAAGGAGCUUGAUAAUUAGCUGGGCUAAAUAAGCUCGUUGAGUGCGGUUCCUCAAGUUUCGUUCACCAAUCUUCAAGUCUUGUAUAUAAGCGGGUGCUUCCGUGAGAUCAGAGUUUUUUAAGUGCGGUAAGCAGUUCGCUUUGGAGUGAGCGGUUCCUCAAGAGUCGAGACCAGAGAGAGAGAAUCAGACUGCACUAAAAGGUAUAGGCCGGCAAUGUUGGGCACUAUUCUCUUCUUUGGCUUUGGAUUGUUACUUUCAUUCUAUUAUGACCCAGUGGAAUUCUCAUCAGUCGUAGUUAGAUCCCCUGUUCGAGUUGGCUUCCCGGCUAGUGGGUUAAGUCGGAUUAGGUACCCAGUCAAUCCGGCUUCGGGGGUUGUGUCUUGGAUUCUUGCUUGGUGGUUCAAGUCUUCUAUUCUAGUCGUGUUCCGCCCCUGUGUUCUGUCCUAGUAGUUACCUUAUACUGAUAUUCCUAUGAAGUCUCAUAACCUAGGGUAUUAGUCUUAGAGCUAGAGCCCCUCGUCCAAGAAUUCAAGCUAGGAGCAGGAGGCUAUAGAGCUAACAAGCAAGAGUGGAGUUAAUGAGUAACAGAUCGAGAAUGUUCCUCUUUAGUAAGAAUAAGUCCAAUAAGCAAGGCUCGGGCUACUAUAGUGAAUUCUGGAUUAUGAAAUUCCUUCUUCUGAGUUCGAUUCUUCUGUUGAUGUUGAAUUCCUUUAUAGUUACAUUUUGUUGGGCAGUGUUCAAUUCCCUACUCCUUCCCUAGAGAUAUAGCGUUGUUAUCACUAGUUUGAUUCUGGAUUAUAUUUCUAAAGAACAAGUAUUAUAAGCAGUCGUUAUAAUUUGAUAGACAGGAAAGGAAGGCGCUAACUAAGGCAUGUAAGGCAGGGGCGUUGAACAAGUAAGGCUUUUGGACAACUCAAGACAAUUCUUAGCUGCGACUCUAUAUCCCAUUACUCAAUUCUGUAUUUACUACUCGGGAACAGUAGUUCAAUUCCUCUGGGCAUUCACCUAUUCUUAUAUUACAGGGUUUAGUUCUUAUCUCUCAUUCCUCCUACCAUUCCUUUACUACUUUCUUUCGUUCUUACUAAAACUAUAAGUCUGACCACUACAACUAUUGGUCUUCUACUGACCUAGAUCAGACUCCUAGCCAGGGUGUUAGGAACAAUAUAGAGAAUGCAAGCGGUGUGGGGGUUUCAUAAUUCUAUAAGUGAGUUACAGACUGGGGGACAGGGGUGUAAUACUGGCUUUGUGCAUUAAAGAGCAAGACUUUCACUAAGGAGUGUCAGACUGAAAGUACUUUUCACAGCAAACUUAUCCGAUGCGGGUGUUAAGAAGCGAGAUCUGGAGUUUUUGUUUACAAGCCAAGGCUUUAAGGCAGUAGCUUCAAUCUAAUCAGUCAUAGUGAAAUCCUUGUUAUUGUUAGCUCAAUUCCAAGUUUCCAGUGAAAGCUACUAGGUAUGUAUAGGUAGCGUUUCCGUCUUUCUUUUUUGCAUUUCAUCCUUUCUUCCUGGGGUAAUUCACUGACUUGCUUGUUCGAUCCCCGGGUUCAAGUUUCUCCUUAAAUGACUUAUUCCUGUGUGAGAGUGUGAAUCUACAACUUGUAAGUCGUUUUCAGUCUUGUUUACAGUGUUUUCAUCCUUUUCUUAUAGGUAGUAACUACAUUCUUAGAAGCAGUAGCGCUAGCCUCUCUCUUCUAUCAAUGCCUCAGAGUUAUGCCUGGGAGGAGUUUUCGAUUGAAUCGGUAACUAACCCAACCACUGCCCUGAAGUUAAUGGCGAGAGUAAGUAGGGAAGCCGACAACUACUUAUGAGCAAGUCAAGUCCUGUUUUCGUUCCUUUCUCCGCUUGUUAUAACAAUUCCUUUGUUCGUCGCCUAGCAAACUCUCUUUUGUGGGGUCUCUAGCUUUUCUAGUGGGGCCUUAUUGACCUAAGAGUGCCCUUGGACUGAUUUGCCAUUAGUAAGGAAGGGAAGAUCUUUACGUAUAAUAUUAAGAGGAUGCUAUCAUCAUGAAUCGCAACAACUUAAUAGACACAAAGUAAUAUAGAGAAUCCAACUUGACUUCCCCACCGUCGACACCAUAAGCUCUGCAUCACUGUGCUACCGCGUAUGAGAUAGUUAUACAUCUCCUGGCAAAACCAUCAACCAAAAGUGGAAUUAUCACCCUAAUAAUGGUUAAGGAGUAUGGGCAAAAGAACCCUAAUAAUGGUUAGGAGUAUGGGCAAAAGUAGGGAGCCGACCUGGGGAUGAGAAGGCGAGCGCUGUGGAGCAGUGAUAAGAGCGGGCCCGGAAGCAAUAACAGAUUUGGUGAGUUGAUCGCAACCCUCGCAGUCGAGCCUCAGGCAGGAGAUGCGAACCUAAAGAACUCUGAUAGGAUAAGGAAGGAGAUGCGAACCUAAAGAACCUACCCAGAAAAGAUCACAUGCCUUUAGAACACCUACCCACUUAUAAACACUAUUCCUUUCAUUUAUUGCUGCUAAUACACUAUUAAACACUAUUCCUUUCUUAUAAACACUAUUGUCAAAUACUAUCUUGCUUUGCUUGUAUUCCAAUUGCAGCCCAUAGACACAGGCACAUUCACUGAGGAAGAAGAGAAAGAGAAAGGAAGGAGAGAUAAGAGAAGGUGAUGCUGGGAGAGUGAGGCAGAGAGAGAUAAGAGAAGUGAUGCUGGGAGAGUGAGGCAGAGAGAGAGCCCAAAAGAGAGAGAGAGAUGGGUAGGAGGAAGAUAGAGAUAAAGAAGAUAUAGAACCCAACAAACAGGCAAGUAACAUACUAACAGAGGAGGACAGAGGAAUCAUGAAGAAGGCCAAGGAGCGGCGAGUUUGGCUUGUUUAAUCCUGAACGGAACCUCGCUUGAACGCCACGCCAGUAUUGGAUUAUGAUUCUUCAGAGUUAAUCAAUCACUGUUCGUUGUUUUGUUGACAGUAUUGACAGGGCCGCCAAGUCGACAAGCAGACAAGUUUACUUAGCCCUGUGGGAAUUGCCAGUUACAGAAGAAAGUUCAGGUUAGGCCCAGACUCAGUGUCCUUAUCCGUGUGAUAUCUUGUCAUUAUUUAUCUUAUUAUAUGGUUAGUGUUAGAGAUUCAAAAGUCAGUAAAGUAUCUCUCCCUACCAGAGUGACUGAGCAAGCGGGUAUCUCGGUCGAAAGGAAGCUGUUAGAAUAGUGCCUGUAGCAAGUGGGUUUUCUCCUUCUCCGGUGCUCUUCUCUGGUCUUCCACUAAUAAGAAUAAGGGACCGGUGUGCUGCUGGUUUGUUUCAUUCACUGACUCGGGUAGGCGGGUGGACUUGUAUGGUAGGGUGUAAACAGGACUUGGUAAAAACGAGUUAUAAUGCAUCUAUGUUGUUGCUGCCGCUACACAUUAGUAGUUACUUGGCCCGUCUUUUUUGAUAGCAUUGGAUAAAUGGGAUAGUACUUUUGUUCGGAUGUAAGUCAACAUCUGUUUCUUCCGAGCCAACAAGUCACUUAACUACUUAGCUUAGCACUGAAUAACUUAACUACUUAGCUUAGCACUGAAGACAGAAACCCAACAUCUAGGUAAACUGAUUGUCCCGCAACAUCUGAUUCAUUUACUGCUUAACCUGAUUUGGAGUUUGAGGCUUUCACACCGGAUUCUGCCUUUCUAACUAUACUUGCAUUGCUUAUAACAAGCACCCGAUACUCCAGGCAUCUAGAAAGCUGCCCUCGCUUCAAAGGCAAAAAACAGGACUCGUUCAACAACUUCUCUAUUGACUACUUUACUCUUUGUCUAGCUAUUAGGGGUGCCGCGUAAGGGUCCCUAAAGUAAGCUUCAAGUUAUUCCUCACAGGAUCAUAAGUGUUAUCAAGAGUCAAGUUACUUUAUAGGAAGAGUUCCUGAAGUGCUUGUUGGCGACUCUCUAUCAGGUGUUUAUUUCAUCCUAUAUAAUAAGGAUCAAUACUUCAUUUAGUAUAGAAAGCCCUUCAUGCAGAGGCAGUUCACUUGUUGGUGACUCUAAAUCAGUUGUUUCAGCCUAUUCCCGAGUUAACCUGUGUUUGGGAGUUGGAUAAGAUUCCAGAGCUGUUUCCGUUCUCAAGUAAGCAGUUAGCGAGUCGGGUCAGUUAUUAAAGUUCACCGCCGCUACUACUAGACAAGCAGACAGGCAGACCAAGCAACUACUUAUGAGCAAGUCCACCGGUUUCCAGUCCUGUUUUGGGGAGCAGUUUCAUCAGCAAGUACUGGUUUUGAAGCAGAAGCAUUAUUCUAAGAAUCAGCGGGAACAAGAUCAUAUGCGGGGAACUCGAUUCGAUAUGAAGCCUCAGCCGAAUCAAAAGAGAGAUAUUAAGCUGGGUAUUUACGAAUCUCUAUCCAUGGUUAGGUGCUCGAUAAUCAAUGACUUUUUUCCUUGGCGCUAACGGAGUUCCAUUCUUCGCUUUACCGUUACGGGGUUCAGAAGUAUAGUUCCAGCAGUUCUUUACCCUUAACCAGAAGUAGACUGUUCUUUACCCUUAACCAGAAGUAUAUAGUUCCAGUUUGUUCUUUAGCCUUAGCCACAUACUUAGCCACAUAAGUAGAGUAGAACAUAGGUUAGUAGAUAUACGACUCUCAAUCCGGGUUUUUACGACUAGCUUUCCCGAUGAUGGCGCUUCCGCUUCAUAAGAAUAGACAAGAAGGCUUUCCCGAGCUCCACUAUAUGUUGCUGUCGAACUAAUUAAGACACAUCUCUGGUUGGUCACUCCAUUUCUUAUGGAGCUGUAGCAAGCGGGUUCUAGUAUGGUUCGCUUGAGUCAGUUCGGCUCGAAAGAUUCCAUUCCUAUCUUAGCACUAGAUUCCAUUGGGUAGCUUCACACAAGCCCAAGACAAGAGCGUUGCUUGAGAAGUAAUAAGUUGACGGUAGCGUUUGAGUUAGAAGCGUUAGGGCGGUAGAAAGAAAGAAUCAGAGUUGUAUAGAUUAGCAACCGUUUUCAGUGCACAGUCUUAUUGAGUUGAGUAAAAACACUGCCCUUCCCUUACCUGUAAACCUGGGAAUUGGACUAGAGAGCUCCUAGUUGUGAGUGUGAGUUUAAGACCGGUCCCUUAGUUACUGGUAUUGAGUGGAAUUCAUAGUUGCUAGCUCAGCUCCCCAAAAAGGACUUGCUCUUCAUUCGAAUAGUAUACGCUUGUUUAGUAGUUGCUAAGUAGUUACUUGCCUCUUUGACUUAUAGUUGACUUAGUGUUAUUUACUUAUACUGAUAAUAUGAUCCACGGCCCAUAACAAUAGAAUCAAACAAACUUGGAAAGUAAAGGUACAGGGCUAAGUAGGGACUGGACAGAUUCUCCUCAUUUGUCUUGGACGCUAGCGAGGCAGCUAUUACAGAGGAAGAGAGUGGGUACCGAGGAGACGAGACAAGGACAACUAUGUCUUAGACCAUAGCGUAUAUAGCUCUUGGGCGCUCUCUCUUCGACGCACUCUUGCCUUAAGAAGUAAGGGCUAGCUAUGUUUUCAAGCACGGAUUCUUUCAAGAACCACGCAAAAAACUAUGACCAUUCAAGCACUACUUGCUGCUACCUAUCCCGACGACUACUAAACCCUAGUAAAGCCAUAAUACUGCUAUACCUGCUAUGAACCUGCUAUGAAAACGAGACACCUGCUCUACGGACCUGUGGCUCUACCAUUAGUAUAGAAGAAAUGAGUCACAAGGCAAAUGAUAAGUACUUGAGAAGGUGUUGGUUGCUAAGAGACAAUACAAAGGCAUACAGCAUCUAGUAACCUGCUAUGCAAUGCCAGUUAUCAAAGUGGAUGUAUAGGCCGCCUAUCCCAUACCCAAUCAAAGAUAGCACUAUAGUUGGCCUGUUAGUUGGCGGUGAAGCAAGCAAAAACGUCUCAUUUCGUUCAUUGCGAGGUUAAGAAAGGGAGCCCAUGAAUCCGCUACUCUAUGAAUUGGAUAUUUAAGGUAAUGCCAAGGUUUAUUCACCAAAAAGAAAGAAAAGGGAAAGCCAAAAUUCAUUGCCUAUGUCCACGGGUCAAUCACUUUUGUUUGAUCGAUUCCGUUCGACGUUUUCGGAAGGUGGCAAAGAGCGUUCCAGAUGUUUUUGUUCGAGGUGUGGUGAAUGGUCGACUGUUUAGUUCCCUAUUCAGGGAGUGGUUCGGGGAAUAGCGAAUAGCCAUCACUUCAAUUGGAGAGCCAUAUAUAAGCUCCGCUCUUUUAGAAUACCCAAACUAGAAUAGCGGGUAAGUAUAAAGUGAGCGAGAAAUAAGCAUAGUAUUAGCAUUUGCAACAGGGAGGUUCUGAAGCGCUAAGUAAAGCAAGAAGGAAGGGGAUUCUCUGGAAACGGAGUAUUAUCCAACUGCUCGAACUUGACUUGCACCUGAAACUCGAACUGCUUAUUAUGUUGGGCCUGUUUCAUCACCUGCUUUAGCUGAAGAUAAGGAUUCCGCUGGAACUACACUUUCCUUACCGCAACUAGCAACUUCACUGUCAACGCUUGACUUUAACCUGCUUGCUAGAGCCGGAACAAUCCGUUUAAGUUUGUUAAUAAGUUCCUACAGUGUGUGUUCAAUCAAGUAUUAAUUAGUUCACGUCAAAAGCAAGAGAACGAACAUAGUUUAGAAGGAAUGAAGCGGGAAAGAAUCGAGUGACUUAGCUUAGGAUUGUCACACUUAAGACCACCCCUUUGGAAUAGAUAGAUCAAAGAAAAUAGAAAAUAUUAGUGCUGUAGAUGUAGUGUAAGGUGCAUUAGAUUCAUAAUAAGCAAGCCGUUGCGCUUACCCUUAUUCUCGAGGUGCUAAAGCGAGUUCUGCAAACUGUGAGUAAGCUGUCUGGUUCCUCUCCUCUAUCAGUGGCGCGAUCCAUAUUCUUUUGAACAAGUCGUUGCACGCGGUGGCAAGUUCAAUUAAGAGUUGUGCUCACUAACGCUCGGGCUCGAGGCAGUUCAAGUAAAACAAACAAACCCUCUUUCUCGUCUCGCUGUAGCUCAAAGGAUAUACUAUGUUUAUUGCUUCUUUGUGUGUUCCCUUGCUUGUUGCAGUGAGGGUACCCUUCUUCUGAUCUCAUUAGGGAGUUCUUUUGCACGUUAGUGAGUUAGCCGACGCCAGAUAAAGUACUGGAGAGUGGUUUUGUUUUCAUCAAUUCUUUUGGGGUGCAUCACAACGUGUUGUUUGCUUGCUUCAUAUCCUUUCUUUGCUUGUUGAGAAAGCCUUUUGUUAGUAUAGUUCUUGUGCGGCUUUGUGUACCUCCCUAUCUUGCUGGUCCCACUGGAGAGUAGGCAAGUCCCUAUAACUAGAACAUUAAUCUAUUCAAAGUAAGGUGCCCUACCUCCUCCUCGCGCCAUGCUCCUUCCUUUAAAAAGGGACCGAGCCUAAGAUAAGAAGCACUCUUUGUUUGCGCCGGAGACUAGAAAGAAAUGGCUUAUCAGUCAGGGGAGAGUGGAAGAUCAGGCCCUAUAAGUCGAUUCCGUAUCAAGAGCUAGUCGAAGGCCUAGUAUCACGAUUCUGCUUUCGUGCUCAGGUCAGGCUCGCUAUCAAAAGGUGCAAAAGGAAGGACACACGUGGAACGAUAGAAAUAGGACUGUCGAUGGGACUAACGAAAGAAAGCGUGCUAGCUUGUCCUACCCUAAGUGGACCCUAACAUCUAGAGGUUGUCUUCGUUCUUUUAGGGCUAAAGAAUAUUCUUUCUCUUCUAGGCCGAUUCAUUUUCUAAUAGCUACUUUCUUGCUGAGAGAGCUGGAGAAAAAGAACUCAGAUAUUCAAAUAAAGAUGCUAGAGGUAAGUAAGAUCUAAAAGAAGGCGUGGUACACUGAUCUUUCAAGGGAGGUUCCCUAAGAAAGGUAUUCAAGGAAUGGUCUAUGCAGUAUCCCUCCGAGUGUAGUGGUCUGACUUAAGUAAAUCUACACCUAUCCCCAGGAAAGCUGGUCCGCUUCCCAAAAAGAAAGAGGAAGAAAGCUCAUCCGAGAAGUCAUUAGCGCACUGGCGUGCCCCGUAUGCUGGUAGAAUUCCUUACACAACACUAUUCCCCGACCCACUGUCGAGCACACUGUUAUCUCUUGUCCAAUGAAUGAAGAAGUAGACAGGAAAUGAAAAACCAUCCAGAAAAAAGCUCUAACUGCCUACCAGAGGAGCUAUUCUUAUAUGAUAUGAUUCAGACAAUACCUCAUUAAUUAGAUCANNNNNNNNNNNNNNNNNNNNNNNNNNNNNNNNNNNNNNNNNNNNNNNNNNNNNNNNNNNNNNNNNNNNNNNNNNNNNNNNNNNNNNNNNNNNNNNNNNNNNNNNNNNNNNNNNNNNNNNNNNNNGGGACGUCCUAAACUUAUGGGGUCUCAUGUGUUUUUCUAUUGGUAGGCCACACAAAAAGGACUUUCUCAUAACAGGAGCCAAAAACAGGAAUUGUAAUGAGAAGAAAGGAAUAGUAGGCUCGGAAGCUUUAGCGAAAGUCCUAGUAUAUAUAGUAUGGAGUUCUUGUUGACAUCGGUUUCGUACUGAUAGGCGGGAGAGGCAAGGCUGCAAAAGUUCCUAAUAGGCCUUAAAGACAGGAGCGGUAUAGUGAAAGGUUAAUGUCAGAAUGAUAGUUUUCAUAGGGGCGGGCUAGUAUAAAGAAAAGACAGGUGAACUUCUGAACUCAGUAAUGUUAGGAGCGGGCCUAGUCGCCUGUCUCAGGUAUAUAUAACUAAAGAAAGAAAUUGCAGAAUGCGAUAAAAGGUCAAGUCAGAUUCAUAGGCUAGAGUUAAAGAAAGAAAGUGAGGAAGGGCCUACUCCCUACCGCCCAUAACACAUAACAUAGUAAUAACAACAAUGAAUGGAAAGAACAAGUCAAAGAAUCGCACUAAGGAGCCCCAGAGCUAACUACCACGCUAACGACUUCAACUAAAACAUAGUGGACUUGGCCCGUAGCUUGUAUUGUAUUAAUUGCUUGGUGGAUCUAAAUCCGUUAUUGAAGAAUCAAAACCCAACAGCAAGGCUAUUUGCCAGUAGCCCUAUUCUUGUUAGUAUCGGUAUAAGAAGUGGGGGAGAAGCAAGGAAGCGAGGCCCUAACUUGAGAGCUCAUAUCAUAUACGCCGCUACAGGUCUAAUACACAGUUUAGUUAAUACAAAGUUUCGUUCUUUGGCUUAUGACUCUACUUCUUAGUCGGUAAAUCCCCUUACUCAUUCUUUUCCUGCGGGGAGCUCAACUCUUAUGCUUGCUGCUAUUAGUCUACUAUUGGUAGCAACAGUCCUGGCCAAGCUACUACAAACAGUCAAGUCAGAACAAAACUGGAAUAAUUAACGGCCAAGCUACUAUGACAAAUAUGUUUGAAUUAGUUGUGACCAAGUCCUGUCUUCGAGGCUAAAGGGCAGCUAGGUCCAAGCAACUACAACAGUGUAGCGGCGAGUUAUUCGUUGCUUGGCUUUUGAUUCUCUUCUUUGUAUGAGUUGUUCUCUUAUGGUGAUUGCUGCUAUUCUAGAUGCGCUAGGGCGUACCCAUAUUCUAAUAAUACUCAAAGGAAUACAGAAUGUACUAUAUCAUAUCCGGAGUAACGAGAAAUAGUCAAAUAAGCCUGAGACGAGCAGUGUGUUCAAGAAAGAAAACACACAAGUAGAGUUGUGUUCAAGAAAGAAAACGCACAAGUAGUUUAUUGGUUGUCGAACUUAACUGUAGGAAAGAACUCAAAUACUAAUUAUAAGGCAGCUCUUUAUUCCUGUUGUCUUCGCGUGCUGUCUUCGGUGGUAGUGUAGUUCUCUCUCCAGUAGCCAACUUACUUCAUUAGUAAACAAGACAAGACGGACUUCUCAAUCCGGUAGCCAAGCCCUUUGAACACCCAUUCUACUCUAUUGGUUCCACGUUUUCAUGCUAUUAUUAUUUCAUGGAGCAAGCGCUGUCUUAGCUUCCUAUCCGAUGUAUUAGAGUAGGCCCGCUCUUCUGCUUUUUGGAUUCUAAAUAAAAGAGUGAACCUCCCUUUCCUUGAUACAAGCAAUCAAUAUAGUAGGGUGGGUGGACUGAGUCUCAGAAUGAUAGGGGACUUCUGGGUAUAUGAAUGAUAAAUGAUAGUUGACUUCCAGGUCUAUGAAAAUGAUAGACUUGCGGGAAACAUCCACAGACUAAUUGAGUGCUAUUUAAGACUUUACUAUGCUACUCGAGAACUACGUGAUGUUGCUGUAGGCUAUGCGGCUCGACUUUCAUAAUGAUUCCCUUUACUAGGAGAGGUGUGAUGAUACACUCUAGGGAAGCAGACACGGACUUCUUGAUAUCACUUUAUGGCUUAAUGAAUGACCUAAAAGAACGAGUGUGUGGACGACCGACCGUGUUUGGGCGCGAAGACGGAGUGUCUGGACCAUAGCACGGAAUGAUUGCUCCACACAGGAGAUAAGACUGAUUGGUCCGAUGGUCUCUCACAGAAUAGAAUAGGCGAAGUGACUUGAACCCCCUUGCCGCGGGUACGCUCGUCAACGUCAUUGAUAGAAUCAUUGGUGAAAAAGUAUGUUUCGGGGAACCUCUUCCGGGCAUAAAGAAAGGGCCGGGCACUCUGGUUUCAAGAGAUUCACUCGGUCUUCAAUAAAGCACGGUAGGCGAACUCAUUCUUGUCGUAAAAGCAUUAAGUCUUCGAUUAACAUCUAAUAAGUCACCCUUUCACAUGCAUCUACAGAGUCGGGCAAGAAGGUAGUGAACUCAGCCUCCAAGCAACGUAGCUCAUUCCUUAACAUAACAUCAAUUCUGGAAAUACCAUAAAAAGAUGAAUCCGACCAUAUAGUUGUUAAUCUAAAUCCCCUUGAGCUGCUAUUGCUAUCCGAGCUCGAAAGAGGGAGUGGAGAUAGAUUCUUCUGUCUAAUAUGCUCGUUUGGGAACCUUCAGUAUAAGUCCUCGGCUUCUUUAACAAUUGCGAAAAAGUUCCUUUCAAUCAAUGAGAUACCUAGGGUUAGGAGUAAGGCAUGCCCUUACAGCCAAUGCCAAGACCGACCGGAUACGAAGCUAAAUAAAGAACUUAUUGUAUCUUACACGGUUUGUGCGUCAAUACAAGUAAUGAGCCCGAUGGAUGGGAUAGAGAAGACGUUGCUUUAAGUAGUUACCUAUAGAGAAUUUCCUUCUCUUCCCGGCCCCCUAAACAACUGAAGCCAACCGACCGUAGCCUCCGAUCUGACAGCGGCGACCUAGGCAAAGCCAGAGUUGCUCAUAGUCUUCGACGAUCUUCAUUACAAGCCCUCGUGGUAUACUGAUUAUCCAACUCCUACAAGAUCCGAGGGGAAAACUGGAUACCUGGAGAGAAGAACCAAUCUGGCCGGUAUAGAUGGUAUGAACAUUCUUCGCAAAAGCUGCAAUCUAUUAAGAUAUUCGUGCUUUUGUCCAGAUACGUUAAGAUAUUCGUGCUUUUGUCCAGCCUCGUGGAAGUUAGAAAACCCCUAUUCCAACUAAGACUCGAUCAUCAUUUGGGGUUGCCUUCCAAGUAGGUUCCCACAUAAUCCCUUAGUUAAGGGGAAUGGUGGAGAUCCAAGGAAUAUCUUUACGGUUAAUCUCCUUGAAAGUGCAUUUUGAAUUAAGGAGAACACCAUCUAUAUCCUGGACUUGCGAGGUUAUCAAUUGGAAAGUUGCCAUUGACACCCAGCGCAAUAACCCUUGACAAUCCAAACCAAGACAUGUAAAGUUUGACGAGGUAAUCCGCUCAGGUGCACAGAAAGUCUUAUGGUCUAGUCUACUUUUACUCCAAUUGGCUGGUAACCAAUGGAGCCAUCAUUAAGUCGGUUCCUCUCUCACCUCCAUAUAUCCAACCUGGGAAAGAAACCCCAAUUUCCUAAUUAUAGAAAAUCACAAAAUAAGUAGAAAAGUGGACGAAAACAGGAGUGGUUAGUUUCAAGAGUCAUAGGAAGUAAGCUUUGCUAUCAGCCAAGGAACAUAGUUAGUUGCGCUAAGGAGCCCCGGACCAGAGAAGGAUAUUAAUCAUCAACAGGAACCAGAGGCAGAGGCUAAGAAGACAAAAACAGCCAAGCUCCACUACUUUAGAGGCAAAUUCCUACUAUCAAGAAGGAGCUAACAAGCAGACCCUCUCACGCCUUAACCUGACUUAUGAAAUACAAUACAGGAGUCCGGAGUGAAACGAGUUAGGAGUUUUCUUGAAAUACCUGAGUGAUAUAUGAGUUAGGAGUCCAGAGCAAUAACUUUUGGAGGAAGCAGUUAAGUCUGCAGGUGCUGAAAGCCUACUGUCAGAUAGCGAGGUGACUACUACUGCUACCACUGCCGGGGGUGUCACUGUUCCUAGGCAAUAGAAUUCUCAUUUGAUAGUUGCGGUCGGGGAAGCAAGAGAAGACGGAAUGUAUCUCGGGCUAAAGUCAGCUCCCGGUGCUACUACUACCAGGGCAGCUAGUCAAUUGAAGGAAUGAAACAACUAUGGAAGGUAUAAAACUACAGGAGCAAGAAAGUAUCUCGGAACAGGCGCAAGAGUUGGGUUAGCUAGAAGUGAUUCUGAACUGAGAGUCGAGUUUGGGGUAUAGUAUACGCUUGGCAGUUGCCUAGGAGCCGAACCUAAGACGAUGAUAACUAACUGAUACCAAGGCUCUCGCUCCUUUCUCUUAUUCUUACUUAUUACUAUACUAUUGACUAUACUAUCCUUUCACUUUUCCACUCAUGCCCUCGACUCUUAUGUUUCGAUUGUGAGUUUUCUAAUUGCCUCGUUUGAAGCGAAGAAGCAAAAGAUAGAAAUGAACCCGAGGAACGUUAUACUGCUCUAUAUGCGAGUUGUUCUAGUGGGUAUAUAGGCGAGUGCUCUGGGGCGAGUCAUUAGGCCUAGUCCCUAUGGUAAGGCAAGUAAUAUUUCUCUAAAGGAGUGGUCGAGUGACACCACAUAGGGUUUUAAUGGGCAAAUGCGGAAUUGCGGGUAGGAGUUUCCGUUUGCUAAUUAUGAGUGUCCGUUUGUGAGUAAGGAGUUUUUUGGUGGUUCUAGAUCAGGAGCUGAGGAAAGCAAGAACGAAUAGUCCAAUAAAAAAGAAGGGCAAGGUACCUAGGGGAGUAGUAUAAGAAUUCUGAUAGUACUAAUUGUUACUUGUCUCAACCUUCAUCUAAUCCUUGCUUCCCGCACCCAGACUUAUACUUAUUACUUGAUUUAUGUACCUCAACCAGAAGUCUGCUAAUACUAACUCGUAUACGGAAGUUACUGACUCACAUCUGGCUGCACCCAUUUGUUUGAGUCCGAAACUCCUCUAUAUCACCUAAUCUUUAAUGCCGAUAUUACUGCUAAAGUAUGUAACUAAGUAGUUGAACCCUUGCUCCACAAUUAGAGGAUUACUUACAUAGAUCUAGGGCUUUGACUCCGGUCUUUUAGCCACCAAGCCACUACAACAAAGGUGGGCAAGCAACCACUAGGCCAGGCGCUAGGGUCACUAUUUCUCUCGAACCUUACUUACAGCUAUAGAGGUCUUUAACACUCUGGGCACCGCACUAGUCCUUACUUGCGAGUUUGUCUCUUCCGCUGCUCACUCGUAUUCAACCUCAGCCUUACCCUCAUUGCUUUAAGUCUCUCACUGCUUACUUUGGUUCCUAUGCUACUGUUUUAUGUCCUUGGGUUGGUUAGCGAGAGCACUAGGGUUGUAAGGAAAGAGUCAAUUCUUCUCUAUAAUGUCAGUAGUGCGAUUUCUUCUAUUCCCUGGGUUGGUUCUUAGAGUCACUAGUUUUGUUCCGCGUUGUAGUUUGUUAGGCACUAGUUUCACCCUUGCUUGUAUGAGGGACUCCCUUAUUCGAGUUAAAGUACUGUAAGCAGUGCAGUAGUAUUGUAUUGGCUUUGAGGCCGGGGUAUGUGGGCAGUGUUAUGGAACCAAAGCAAGGAAGGGCAUAAUGAAACCAAGCAAAGGUAGCUUUAAGGGCAAGUGAGUCAGGAUUUCACUCGAACUCAAGAAUUCCAAAAGUCAGUGUAAUAGUCAGUGUCAGGUGUUAGAGUUAUGGUUCUAUGGUUGCAAAUAAGGAUCCAAUUCAAUAAUACAACAAUAGAAGACAGGAGAAAUAGACUAAGUUCAAACGUAUAAGAAUCAAGUAGAAAAUAACAAGGAUCAAACUCGGAACUGGGAGAGCCUAGCAAGCACGCUUAGAUAACAUAACUGAAUCGAACUAGUAAUAACAGGAAUGGAGCCGGCAAGGGCUCCAGAAAGCAUCUAUUGUAAUGACUGCGAAGGAAUUAUAGGAAGCGGCCCUGCCGCGCAACUAACGUAGUCUAAUGACUCCUGCCGCGGCACAUUAGCAGUGCCUUGGCGGCUGUUGCUACCGCUUUUAGCUCGCUGCCGCGUAACAUUAGUAGUUACUUGUCCAGUUGCUUGGCCCUCUGAUCUCUACUUUCUUUGGGGAGUUAAUGACUAGGGAGUUCAAGAGUUCAGAAAUAGGAUUGAAGUGGAGGAGCCAGUUUUUGCUAGUAGAUGAGCCUGAGUGAUAGGAUAAGAAUUAAGGUAUUGUUGCCCUAGGUAAUAGGCCCUUAUUGUAAGUUGUGAACUCACUGGUCAGAACCAAACAAGGGAGUGCAAGCCUGGAGUCCAAGCCUGAUGCGGUCUCUAACUACUGUCGCUAAGGCUUCAACCAUUACGGUGAGCUACUGGUAUUGGUACUACUGGUGCUGAUGCUGGGUAUGCAGGGGCACUACUUAAGACUUCAACAAGCGAGUUACAGACUGAGACAACAGCUAAUCAGACUACAACCAGUAAGAGCAAGACUUAAAGCACCGAGUCGAAGGUGAGCUAGUAGUAAAGUUGGAAUUGCACUCAGUAGUGCUAGUCUAGUUCACGGGCUCCUUAGCUAGUGUUCGUCGAGUAAAGAAGUAAAUGAAUCCAAUUGAACCACCGACCAUAAGUACUGGAGUUCAGAAUUGCUAUCAUCCAAGUCACGUAUAACCAAGCCGAGCAGAGCCAGAGGUAUAAGAGAAGAGAAGAGCGCACACUAGCGGCAGGAGCUCUCAGCUUUGCUACCUUUUUGACCGUGUUUUGGUGAUUUGGUGAAAUGAACUGACUUAACUACUUUCCUUUCCACUCUGUAGUGGCUCGGCCCUGUUUCUUUGAGUCUUAUACUUACUGACUUAGUUUACUGACUUGUUAGGCGCGGCUGGUUUACUUACUUAGUUGACAGAGCCAGAGUAGGGGUGGGCAAGGUCAGAAUCACACCACUAUCAACUAUAUAGCUACUUAAGACUUAAACCCGUGAUGAGCUACUUAAGACUUCAACCCGAGCUACUGAGACUAUAACCACUGCUUCUAAGGCUACUACUGGUGCUACUCGGGAGUCACAGAACCAAGCAAGUGCUAGCUAGACUUCAACUCACUCCAAUCAGACACCAACCACUGCCCCUCAGAAUGUAGCUAGGUAGUAUGGGUAUGGGACUGGAAGCUAUGUAUACUCAGGCGGAUGCUAUGUAGUAUGGGACGGGUAGGCUUAGGCUCGGAAUUCUAUUACUAGGUAGGUUCGGGUGCUUUACCAGAGGAGAGAGAUUGGCUGUUGCCAUAGAUAUAGGAUAUCUUAGUUUAGGUAAGUCCAGUAGUAGAGUAGUUUCAUCAGUUAUCCUUUCUAAAGAGAAGAAGCCAAAUCAAAAGAAUCCAUUCCUUAUUUUAUCGGCGCUUAUGCUUACGGAGAGUUUUCGUCUCCAGACCUCGUUAGCACAAUCAAUGUCUUCUUGAACUCCUUACGCUAUUGCUUGCUCGAAAGCGCUUGCUGAUUCCCUUGAUUGUUUCAAAGAAGGGUCGGUCGGGUUGACAGCUUCCUUCAUCUUUAUUUAAUGGCACAUUACAUUAGUUGUAUUAGUCACAGGGGUUCCUCAGCGCCCAGCCAGAGCUGCCCUACCGCCAUGACUGAAUUAGGACAAAGAAAGACUAAAGUAAAAAAAAACUCCUUCCUCUCUUGUUCCCACUCCACCUCUUUCUAAAGCAUAUUCCACGGAGCCCGUAUCUUUUAUUGUUCCUACUCCGGAUGUAGAUAAAGCUUCUUUUACUGAUCUUGUAUAUAAUCCUUAUGAAGAGUCAUAUUACUAAUAAGUUGUUCUAUACUAGCCCAACACCGAUAUACUUUACGGAUCCCGUAUCUGCUCUUGUUUACCUCUAUUCUGGAACUCCAUUCGUAUACAAACACAUAGCAAGUAGGCAAGCAGACAACUAAUGGAAUUCUUUGACUACGCACACAGGCCUUGGGAUGAGCAAGAGGGAUAGUUUACAGAGUAUGAUUAGAUGAGAGCAAGAGGAUCGUUUUUGUUUACAGCCCAGCCCGCUCCGGGUAGUCCAGGGCAGAAAUAAAGCACAGAGGCAGAGGAGUUCACGGGGUAUCUAAAGUCUCCUGUGAGUCAAGUCCAGUUUGAUAGUAUUGGCGUUUAAGCUCCAUUCUAUGAUAAGAAGGGCAUAUAGAUCUAGCGUAUUAGAUACUAGGGGAGCGGGUACUGGACUUCGGAACAAGACUCAUUUUGUUGCUUCCGCACCUGUACUUUUUUAUGUAUCUGAUCUAGAGUGAGUAAAGCAAUCAAUAGUUAGUAAAGAUGAAAUCAUAUCCCCUAGGCUGAAACAAGUAAGUAUAAGGCAAUUAGGUCAUAAUUGAAUCAAACUAGUACUACGAGGGGUUAUCCGGGUAUGAUAUGGAUCUAGGUCACACUGGGCUUUCGACCUUUUCUUUUCUUGCCCUAGUUUGGGGACUAUCCCUAUGGGUAGCGAGGGUUGGAGAAGGCCAUAAUACAUAAUUGCCAGCUGUAAGCAGUUUUGAAGCAAAGGGGGAGUCAGGGGCAAACAAAGGGUGAGUUAGGUCUACUCGAUCAGUCGAUAAGCAACUACUGAGAAAACCUGUACAACUGUAGGUUAAGGAGACAAAGACUGAUUCAACAUUUCUUGAUUUCAACGGGCUCCUUAGCGCAACUAACGACUAAGCUCUUCCCACGCCAACUCAUUCCCUUAAGGCUUAGAAGCCAGUACUUACUUAUUCUUGUUUGCAAUCGAAAAAGUCAGAAGAGUAGAACUCAAACUCAAGAAGCAUUUUGCGGUCUUCAUAGGAAGAAAUGGGGUAUAGUCUAGUCUAAUGGAUUAGGGUAACCAACCGGCGUGCUCUCCUUUCUCUAAGAAAACUGGACGAAACUACAUAAGAAACCGGAAAAACUUCCCCAGCGAGUAAGAAUGGAACUGCCAUAUAAUAAAUAUAAGAAUUAGGAAGGUCUGAUAUAUCUUAGUAACUCACCAACCGGCGUGCCCCUGCAUUUCAUAAUAUAAUUAACUACGCCCCGCAACUCCACAUUAAGUAGAAUAAUAAGUCAUAAGUAAAUACAGAAUUCCACUCUAAAUAGAGAUUCGUUCGCGUGUGGUCAUACUAAUACAAAGAAUGGAGUUUUGCAAAAGGAAUGCCAUAAUUUCGUUUACUCUCCUCUGUGCACUAUAAGAAAUUCAGUAUGUAGCUUUUCCUGUUUUCCUUGACUCUGUGCUAAGAUCUUCUCUUUCAUAGCAAGCAAGUUCCAUCCAGUUUAUAUGGCACAUCAUUAAUAGUAGAAAAUGGAAAUGAAACAAGGCGAGAAGUGGUUGAUCGGGAUCAGUUUAAAAGUAAGUGCUUUAUCUUUCGGGAUCAGUUUCAAAGUAAGUGCUUUAUCUUUAUUUAUAUACUCUGCACAAUAAAUAGGAAAUUAUAGAAUUUGGUACUCUCCUCUCGAAUCUCAUGCCCCCGUCCCGUGACUCCCGAAAACUUGACUUGUUCAGUCUCUUUACAUUACAUAUGUUGCUCUUAUCUAUAUCUAUAUUCAAAUCAAUUCUUUGUCCUUUGGCCAGUGAAGAUUACCUGUUUAGAUACGAGACUGGAUCUACUGAUCUAUAUUAAUAAAUUCCUAUACAAUGCCUUGUAGCAGACUUGGAAACUUCUUCUUAUUUAUCUAUCUGCGUCAACCUGAUCCGUAAGUAAAGUUUCAGUAAAGGGUCUAUGAUGAGGCAAGGGUCCAUAAGGCAAGGGUAUACUAAUGAGAAGAGAAGGGAGACCCCUAUUAAGGAAGUAAAGCACCUAUUGCUGGCUCUGCUCUAAAACAUAUUUCUUAUUGCUGGCUUUGCUCUACCUGCUGACUUCUUCCUUUAGCCUCCAAUUCUCUCGCUUACUUUUUCCAAUCACCUACUCAUAUUGAUACUUAAAGACUCAAUUCAAUGGAUGAGAAACUAAUAUUCACUAAGCGCGGAAGAAAGAAUGGAUUCUUUGACCUGGUUGGGCAAGAUACCGAACUUGAUACCUAAUUGCUAAAGCACUACGUGGAUAUUCGAACAGAUCUUUUCCUCAGAUUCUUUCCUUAUAGGAUUAGGGAACCAACGCCAGUAUUUUCUCUUUAUUCUGUGAUUUCGGCCAUUGCUUGAGAAGCCUUUACCACAAGUAAAGUAAGCCUAUGAGUGGGGAAUGCCAGAUUGGCAAGCUAAUUAAUAAGUAGGAGACUCGGAUUGAAGUAAGUAGUCGCUUGGCUCUUUGCUUUGAGUGGAAGUAGUAAAGUGGAAUCUAAAGUAUACGAGUAUUCCUGGUGCUCUCUUUCUCUCAAGUAGUGAAGUUAGAAUUGCACUGGUAAGUGGAAGCCUUAAAGCACCAAAGCAACCCGUAAGUAGAAGCCUUAAAGCACCGAGUAGUAGUCUGCAGCGGGAGGGAAACAUCUGAAGGUGCUGAAAGCCUCGCAACUAGGAAUGCAACCAGUAACAACAAGCCUGAUAGUCGCUAGUAAGCCCAUCGAUUGACCGAUAGAAGUAGAAGUCACUAGGCCAAUACCACUGAUUCCCUGUGCCAGGGGUACUAGAAAAGAAUGCAACUAAUAGGUGAACUAGAGAGGUGAGCUAGGCAGCUGACUGAAGUAAAGAAUUCCACCCCUUAUUAUAAUUCGUGACAGGCUUUAAGUAAGUCCCUAGUUAUUAAGUCUUCCCUGAUGCUAUAGUAGUAGCCCUGGUUGUAUGAAUUCCAAUGCUUAUCCUUAAGAAGUAAGCCCAGAAGAAGGGGGAGCCUUAUUAUAAUUCGUUAAACUUAUGAGUAAGCUCCUCAUUCUGUUACUCGGCUAGGCAAGUUGGCCCUCUAGCUUUAGUAGCGGGAGCUAGUGUUGUAGUAGUCGCUUUGCCAGGUUAAGGUAUUUCAUUGAACUCCUAAUCGGUCUGAAACUAAGAUAAGAAUAAGAAUGCAGUUAGAGGAGUCUCAUUCAGGUAUCAAACUACAGAACAGGAACAGGAACACAGCACUUGUACUAGACUCACUAUUCCACUCCAGUAUAGGAAAAAGCUUCUCUUUGAUAGCAAGGGGUUUCCGAAAGGAUCUGAUCUCAUGUACUAUAGCUGCGGAGAAUAGAUACCCUGGCUUUCAUUCUUGGAUUGGUCAGCUCCAUUCUCACACUGACUGGUUGAAGCCUAGCUGUCGGUGAGUUAAGCCUUGGACUCCCUUGUUUGGUUCUAUGAUUGGUUAACUUCAUUCCGAGCCUACCCGGUAUCAGUCUUCCACUCCCUUGUUUGAGUCUUGCCAGCAGUGUUUCAAGCCUGAGUUGAGUGGUUCUGCUUGAAGUCUUGGAUGCAGUGGGUGAGGUCUGCCUAUGCCUAGUAUCGGUCUUGCCCUCGGGUGUCUUCAUUCAUCAAGCUACGAUAGAAAAGAAGGACGAAAGGAAGUGAAAGGCGGAGCUGCCAAGGAAAAGAGAAGAGGCUAAAUAGAUAAGUGUGUUUGCCGGAGGAGAGGUCAGCGGGCAGGUCUCUCUUGCUUUAGUUGAUAGGCGGGUAGGGGCAGAGAAUCUCUUUUCAUCUCUCUUGCUUGCCUGAUAGCAUAGUGAGUUGAUUAGUCCGGCCUAAACACUAUUGCCAGAGGUAUAUGCGCAAGAGCUCAGAGGUGGCAAUGAAGUUAUAUUAUCUAAUUAAUAGAGAAUUCUCGUAGGAAUGUUAAUGUUCUCAAGGAAGCAAGCCAUAGAGCAUAACCAGAAGCCUCAGCUGUAGAAGAGGGAUUGGUUCUAUGUCCUCUAACCUAUAUGGUAUGUCCUCGGUUUAUUCUAAUAGUCGUUUCGUUUUCAGUCUGAUCGUUAUUGGUUUCUUUCUUUAUGAUAAGCAAAAGGAUGAGAAGCUUUAGUGCGCUUAUUACUUAAUGGAUUGAUCACUCAUCUAGGAACAAAGCCCUGUUAGCACUAAUUGCAUUUUGAGUAUCUUACUUAUAAUAAGUUUGAUACGGUGCCCUAGCCGUUCGAUCCCCAGUUAUAAGUCAAAGGAUUACUCAUUCAUUUAGUGGUCGGGCAACUGAUCUCGAGUUCAAUGAUCAAUUACUUGCUGCAGCUUUUCACCCCAUUAUGUUAAUCAAAUCUUCUUUAAUCCUAUAUUAAGUAAACAUCAUACUCAAACAAAGGAGUGGUUUAGACUUCAAAAGAGAGUAAAGAACGUAUCGGCGUAGUUAAGGCUUUCUGUCUGGUGGAGCAAGUAGGGCUUGGAGCCAGUAAGACAAGGUUCGAGGUAAGUCAGGGAAAUCCUAUUUAUAAGUGCAAGUAUUGUUGGCACCAGUUACAUGAAGACGAGUAGAUGCACAGGCUAUUAUGUAUUAGGGCCUUCUCUUAUGUCCUUUGGCUCUAUUAUGAUUAGUAGUGAUUUGAUGAUGACUGGUAGUAGUUAUUCCUCUUAUUUGUCUUAAUGGUGGAAAUCCAACAGAAUUAAGGUAAGCCGAGACAGGCAAGGGGUAAUCCUACAGAGAGAGGCCAGAGAGACAGGCAAGACCGAGCUCAGUUGUUGCUUCUUAUGUGUGAGUGUGCGGCAGCUAUGAAUAACGAGAGUCCGCCUCUCCAAGUCACAGAAAAUAACUACCGCAGGAACUCAAUUAAUAUGUUAUUAAUAAUGACAUUCUUAGGGAAGAAAAAGAAUCAUCAAAACUCUAACCAAUAAAGGAAGGGCUCUAACCACCAAUAAAGGAAGGGCUCUAAGCAAUAAAGGAGGGGCUCUGAGCAAUAAAGGAAGGGCCAAGCUCACCUUAGCAUCAGAAGGAGAGUAUACCAGAUCAGAUGUUGUGCUAACGGUUGCAGGACUUAUUCAACACUCUCAAACUAAACUAUCAGAGGGUUGGAAAGAAAGGAUAAGUGGGCAGGCAAGAAAUAGAUAACUAGCUAACACACCCGCUCAGCUCAAGUAAAGUAAAGCGGUAUACCAAGCAAUGGAAUGAAUGAAAAUAAAGAAGCAACGGAUCCAGAAGCAAGGCAAGAACUAAAGUACUUAAUUAUAGGGGAAGAGGCCCCUUUGUUGUUAAUCCGCUCGAAGUAAAAGUAUCAAGUAUCAAACUAGAGGUUAAGGCCCACUGAGAGGGAAGGACAUAAUAUAGAAAUAUAGGAAGGAGUUCAGUUCCACUCGAAUAAAUUAAUGUGGACGAGGUCAUGGUAGUAGAUCUACUUGUCCACUCUAGGUGUAGAAUAAGUCAUUUCUCAAAGCAUGGGUACCAUUACUUAUUAUUACUUUGAAAGCCGAAUUAGCAGGUAAUGAUACUAGCCACUCACUUUCGAUGUCGGAGAUGCAUAAAUAGCUAGCGCACAUUUGUAUUAGACUAUCUAGCUCUAGUAUAAGAUACACUAAGUAAGUAUUAAGUAUAAGACAUAGAAAAAGGGUACCAUUCUUAUUCUAUCUCUGAUCUGGGCUCGGCUCCAAAUAUGACUCCGACGGACUGACAAGCAUAUACCGCCAGAACCUGAACAAAUGAAAACAAAGAAACGGACAAAUUAGCCAGGUAUUAUGGAAAUAAGUAACAAACCUACCUAGGUAGCCUCUCUCCCAUUGCUUUUAGGGGAUCAAACUCUCAACUCCCACAUCCUAGCAGAUCAAUUGCACUGUAAACAACUUCCCCGUUAGCUAUGAGGAAAACACAGAAUGAAACACCCGGAGUGUCCCGCGCUUAUCCCUUCUGGUCUUGAUACGAGGCCUUAUUCAUAUCCUGAUCCUGAUACAACUUAUAUUCCCGACCUGCUAACAGCUGAAGAAAGUACAGUAAGGAGAGGCCAGGCCAGGGCAGUAGAAAAAGAAUCAACUCAAGCAAGGGCCAGGGCCGGGGAAGAAAGAGAAUCACCAGUUCAGGGUCGAGUUAGAGUUAUGAGCCAGCAGCUUGUUGAAAUAAGUAUGAGUUUACAGAGGAGAGCAGAGGCCCUUAUAGUCAGUUUGUUUGACUUUCAUCUGUCUUUGUUUACAGAGGUAGAUGCGCCUAAUGGUUUGGUACUUUCGUAUAUGUUCUUGUUUCGUUUCAUUUCUCUUUGUUAGUUUGAGAGUGAUUCUAAUGUUUCCUUUGUUUAGUUAGUUGACAUCUGGUAUUCCUCAUAGUAAGUUGACAUCUGGUAUUCCUCAAAUACGAUUAGAGAAUCAAAGAAUGAACACAAAUAGCAUCCCUCACUUCAAACUAAAACAAAAGGUGCUGAAAGCCUCAACACGGAGGAAGUUUAGGAUAUAAUAAACUGCGUAGCGGGCGAAGAUAGUUUCCAAAGGCUAUUGCUGCUACCUGAUUGACUCUGAAAUCAAAUCAUAGUUCCGUUACUUCCGGGCAACGCUCUUUUCCGGUGCAGAAUACGGACUUGCUCAUAACCUUAGGACUUGGCAAUUGAUGGCUCCUCCACUUCGAACUCUUUAUUUGUUGCCAGAGGUAUAGCUCUUUCAAGAAGUAUUUUACGCCUACCUUAACUUACCAUAAAGGUUGCCUUAUUGUCUCCCACUGUAGUAUACGCUUGGUGGACUUGGCCCUUACGCUUGAAUUCCAUUUCUCAUUUAUUCUUUCCCAUUCCCUAACAUAGACCUGAGUCUUUGAAGUACUUAGCGUUGAAUGAAGAAGCACGGACUCCACUGGGCGAGAUCAUGAUCUACUAUACACUUGCUUUCCACUUAACCAAGUAGUGGGCUGGGCCAACAAACACCGCUUAAGUUCACCUCUUCUUUCUAUCUCCAAUACAUAGGUAUGGGAUCCGAAUUCUGGUAUAGGAUAAAGGGUGCAAAGAGCCUGAGGUAUAUAUAGGACCCGGAGAAAGUACCAAUUCCCCGGCUGAGAAUCGAGACCUCUGUAAACUCAUAAAGUUAGGGCUCCCCCAUACCUACAUUCUGAUCCUCUGUUUUCUAGCUUUCCUUUCUUAGUUGCUUGGCGCUAUGUGUUUGUGAGUUGGAUUAGUAUUGACUGGCAAGAAUAGAAGAGAGGAGAGCCAUUUGCAUCGAGGCAAGCUACGACUAAUGUUGCCCAGUCCUCCCCUUGAGUAUAGAAUGAGAAUGGAGUCAAAACUACCACUUUGCGAGAAGGUAAGGAGUGGAAAUUCAUAAUUGUUGAAAGAAGCGAACACUAGCGGCCCUGCCCGGGGUUUGGUCAAAAUAUCAUUCCAAUUAGUUUGCCCGGGAAAGUAUACAAGGGAGACAAAGACAUUACUUGUUUCUUUCUAAUCUUUAUCCUAUCAGAAGAAUCAAGUACUUACUUUGAUACCGAAGCCAGAGAAGUAGAAUAUAAAGGAUUGCUACGUUGCUUGUCGCCUUGUCGGUUAGUAGUGACUUGUUGAAUCAACAAAUACUUAACUUCAUCUUUCUUGCGCUAAAGAAGUUGAUCAUGGAGCAGAGACCAGAGCUCAAACAUCACUUUCGCACUCAACUGAGAUUGAUGAACGAGAACUUAUGUCCCCAACCACAUUCCUUCCCGCUGAAGAUCUUUAUUCCCUGGCUUCUGCUUGAGCCUCUGAUUCUAUAUACAAUUAUGAAAGUCAAGCAAGUAAAGCACCAACCUCUUCUCGACUUGAAGACCCGAUUGCAGCUGACCUCUAACUCUUGUUGAACCGAACAAGAUUCUUAAAAGAGCACUCGGUUAGUUACUUCUUCCAUUAGAAACCCCCUAUUGCUAAUGAUUAUGUUUCCUCACGUUACUGUGGAAUUCUUUCCCUAUUCUUAGAAGUCGCUAGAUCGUACCCUAAUAUCUUAUUAGUACCUUCACUUACAAAUACAAUGAAUGCGCUAUGGAGUUUCGAGUUAGGAGUUUCAUUCGAUUUCUGGAAUCUGUUCCUAAGCUUGUUUAGUAGUAGCUUGGUCGCAGCUUCCUUUUUCACGGCUUCAGAUCUAGCAUCUAAUCUAGCUUCAUAUCUUGAAACUCAAAACCACACCCCACUUUCCUUUCGAACCCUCAUACGCUGAAACUAUAAGAGGAGCAUAAUGCACUCGCCCCGCUUUUGCAACUUCCUGUUAGCCUAGUAGUGCGACUCAUGAAUUGGAAUAUGUACCCUAAGCCUAGUAGUAUAUAACACCCAUUCUUUUCUUGAUUGUAAAGAAUAUCUCUAAUUCAUCUUACCUGACCGGAACCUAGCUUUCCCCAGGCUAUAAUAGUAGACUAACUGAUUCCACUAGAACUGCAUUAGCUUCAGAAACACCUCUCUAUCAUAGACCUUAGUAAACUCAAGAAGAUACUCGACUUGGACCACUACUAAAAGGGGCUGUCAACUAGUGACCGCUCUGUAGGCUACGCUAGACCACUACCUUAAGGGGCCAAAAACAGGUGAACUCAGGACUCGGGAAUAACAACUAAUAAAUAUACUAUAUGUAAGUUGAUUAUUGUAGUUGUCCUUGCGUUACUUGUUUCGUUGCUUGUCUAUCCUAAGCUAUAUAGUACCCGAUAACUACUCUACUACAAGUUUCAGGAUAAACCUAGCUCCAUCCUCUUCUUCGUAGUGGGCAUUCUCCUCGGCUUCGGCUUCUUAAUAAGAUCAAACUCGAGAACGGGCCAAGUAAGCAGAUGUUGUGAGGCCAAGCGUAUACUAGACAAUAGGAGCAAUAGGCUAAAUUAGGACUCCCAACCAAACCAAAGAAAGGUUGUUUUCACUCUGGCUCAUCUACCUCAGGCUACAGCCAAGCAACUAAGUAAGAUGUUGUGCGGAGGUGAGCUAGUAAGUAGGCGAGGGAGCUAGUCAGAAAGUGAGAAUUCCACCACUGCCGCUCAGGCUUCAACCAGUGUUCGCCUUUACUCAUAUCUUUCAUUUUUGUACGCCCUUGUAGCAUUCUUAUAAGCAUUAGGUCAUUUCUUUAUACAGUAGUGAAAUCUGAUAGUUAAUAGUGGAUAAAGGCGGAGUUCCGAGUUCAAGUCUUAGUUUUCAGAGUUUCCAUUCUCGGUCUGAUAGCUCUAAUUGGCUUUUAGUCUAGUCCGAGAAAACCCCCUUUCUUGAAUUAAGUAUUGCCAUUAUGAGUCUUAUAGCUCUAUUUGGUUUGAAAGCGAAGUCCUUCUAUCAUGAGUUUUCUUCUAUUGGGGCCAUUGAAAGUCUUAGCCUGUUGGUGUUAGCAUCCUUAGCCUGGUAUACUUACUUAGCCAGGUAUCCUGUAUUCUUGUGUUUCAUUAUUAUACCUUAUAUUGGUCUUCCACUUCUGUGUUUCAUUCCGAUCGUAGUCAUUUUAUUACCCAUUGGGGUUUUCAUUCCUUUGAUUAGAGUCAAGUCUUAUAAGUCGUAGUUUAAUGUCCUAGUGGAAUCCCAUAGGUCAUUCUUACCAAUGCUACCAUUAGGUCUAGAGGGUUCCAAAAAGAGAAGCCUAAAACACGGGAGCGGCAUACUCCAAUGAAAAAGUAAGGCUUGCCAUCAGUGGGGCAGUUUGAAAGCAAAGAGAGGCAGUUUGAACUACUGCACUAGUAAGCUCAGUUAGAGCAUAGGAAUUAAGGGCAGAGUUCCAGAGUGAUAGAUGGGAUAUUCAAACAAAAAGGAAGGAGAGGAAAACUAGAACUAUAACAACUAUACUAGAGAAAAAAGCAAGGAAGGCUGGCUAACUAGGAGAAGAAAAGCAAAGGAAUCAGGAUCUGUGGUUAAAGAAUAGAGCUAAGGAAAGGAAGGGCAGGUUAAAGUGUGGUUCAGCGCUAUAGUUGCGAGUUGGGCUCUUGUCGGUAGUAGCUUCAUUCCAGUUAGCCGGGGUAUUGUUUCAUCCCUGUUAGCUGCGAUUUCAGUCGUUAGGGGAAGUGUUCCAGUGUCCUUCUUUAUACUGAUAUACUUUUACUGAUACUAAUAAGUACUGGUGAAGUUAGAAUAUAGCGACUCCAUAGUCCAUCUAGGAUAUGUGCUAGUCACGCAAUAAAAAGAGGUACGCCAAGAAGAAAGGUUGCCAGAGGUAAAGUAGCAAGAUCCGAGGCAAGAUCAGAGGUAUAGUUUACUUAGGUAAGAGGUGGAUGAGCAAUAGAGGAGCUCAGACAUGCUUUCCGCGGAUAGUACUAUCCAUAGAAGUUCUAUUCUGCCUUGAGCCUACAAGCACUGGGUUGGGGAAAGGAAGUAGCACAUAAAACUUUACUGGGUUGAUUGGUUAGCAAGAGGAGAGGUGGACAAGGUAGGUCAGAAAGGUAGAGUUCAGAGUCACUUGGCGCCUACUUGCAAUGUGUUUUCAGAAUGAAGUUAGAUGAGCCUAAUUCUGUUAAUGCCAGCUGCUAGUUGAAAUAAGUAUGAGUUGCUCAAGUCAAGUCCUGUGCCACUUAACUAUUUGCCACUCUUGAAGCCGAAGCUGUAGCAGUAUCAAGAGCCAGUCCAGUCAUAUGUUUCUUAAUGUUGAAGUUCCAGUUCGAAAGUUCGGGUUAAGGUAAGAAUCUAGUCCAGCUCACCAGAUCAGGGACAUAAUAUCAUCUUAAGGUUCGUUUUGAAGCAGAAACAAGAUCUGGGUUAUAACAACGAUAAGAAGCAAUUACGGGUUUGAGUAUUGUUCCAGUCAUAAAGUAGAGUUCUGUUGGAGUUUCAAGAGCUAGGAUCGGGAUCAGAAGCGUUAAUUAGUAUAAGUUGCCGAAGAAAGAUCUUCAGCAGGAGACACAUCUGCAGCAGUUAGGUAUCCUGGAAUAGUAUCAAGGUAAGAAGCCUCAGCCGAAUGCCAAGAAGGAUAAGAAGCUGCGAGAAAGGAAGGGUGUUUGCCUCUCGAGUCGCCAACAAAGCAUUGGGUGUCAUUCUCAAGUCGAACAGAACCAAGAACCACUUGCCCUCUGAUUUGAUUGAUUUCGUAGUAGGAGUGAAAGGCUUACGGGCUGUUUUGUAUACUAGCUACGUUGCUUGUCCCGAUUUAUGCUUUCGGCUUGGGGACGUUAUUAAUUGUUUGAUUUGUAAACAUCUUGAAGCUCUGGGUCGGGUCGGGCUUUCCCCUUGUAUACGAGUUUCUCGGGUAUCUGAAAAGGAGUGAAAUCAGUCCGGUCCGGGUGUUGGCAAGGAAGCUAUAAGUACUGAAGUGGGUUCGGGUGCUUGUGUUAAGCAAUGAUACAAUCUAUCUUCUUAGUCUACGUAACUCCCGAAAAAAGGACUUGCUUAGGACUAACAAGGAAUAUCUCUCGUAUGUAAGUAGAUAAGCCCUUAUUUGUUGAUUCUAUUCUGUUGCUGGAACUCUAUCACUGGUUCUUGUGCCGGGUCAAGGAAAACUUGGAUUGAAUCUUUCGAGGCCCGCUGCUGUAAAAGAAUUGAGUCAUGAAGAUCUAAUUGCUGGAAAAGAAUUUCUGUCAUCUCUCUCACACUCGCAACUACGCUUUACCUUUGCUUUAACCGACAAGUAAUAGAAAUCCGGGUAUAAAGCUUUUCGUUUAAGGGUAAUAGUAGAGUUCAGGAUAGAAUAUCUUAUAGGCCGCCCACCAACACAUAAUGUGUGCUAGGUUAAUGCGUUUCAUCGUUUUCAAAAGUGCAGAAGAAGAAUCCACUCUCGAAUCGAAAUACCUACGAGAAAGUUGAAAGCGUAAAAAGACGCUUAAGUAUCAUAUGGAAAUUGCUUGCUCUUUCUUAUCUAGAUGAAAUUAUGGAAUGAACUUAAAGGAAAGUCAGCAUCAGAUAUUGAAUCCAAUUAUGUAUUUUGGCGAAGGUUAGUUGACCACCCGGAAACAAAGUAAGCAAGCGGGUCCUCAAUGAGAGAUAGAGAUGGUGUGACCGCUCCCCGUGAACAGAUCUGAGAGACAAGAACUGAUCUCACUGCUGAAGAUCUUUAUUCCACUUAUGCAUACGUAGCUAACUUGAGAGCUAUACUUGAUGAACCAACCGACUACUGUACUUGCUUCUUGCCUUGUACCGAGUCAAACAUUAAUUGAUUCUUUCGAGACCCUGUAUAUAAUAGGAGUGAGUAAUCUUACCUCAAUCUAUAACUCAACACUGCUUCCCUUUCUUUACGCUGAUUAAGAUCUUUCCCCAUAUUCUUUAGCUGAGCCAUAGGUAGUAUAGUCGCCUUAGGGGUCUCAUAAGACAGAAAGCCAACAUAAGUAAGGGCGAGUUGAGGCAAUCAACAAACGAGCUGUGGGAUUAGAGUCGAGGCCUCUAUAAGAAGUUUCGGGGUUAACUCAAAGGUAAGAGCCAGAGUCGAGGUGUAACUCAAAUGAAUGUAACUAUAAUGAGCAUAUAUAAGAAUUUUACUAAAACCAUUUCUCCUUAGCAACUAGGCAAGAAGGGAAUAGCAACUAGACAACCAGUUUUAGACUAAUAAACCUGAGCAACAAGGCCUAUAUCCUAUAUCAGAAUUAGAAACGACUCCGGAUGUAAAGGUCCUUCUCGAUAGUAGGAAUUAGCCAGGUAAAGCUAGAAAGGCAAGCAACCACAAGCAACCAUUACGGUCAAGGAGAUAGGAAGGGGCAGAGUCUUGUGCCACUUAUAUAUCUGCUAGCGCAUCUAGUAUAGGAACAGUAACUAGUGAUUCUCUUAAGGCAAGGGCCAGGGAGGAAAGAGACAUGCAUUAAAGCAGGGGCAAGGGCGGAUACAUAAGUGACAGUACUAGAGCAAGAACAAGUAGUGGCCCAGCCCAGUUUCAUCAGUAUUUGUUGUAUUAGUUGACAGAGGGGGAUUUGCCUCAUUCCGUUAGCAGAGAGGAGCCGACUACGAGCACAGGACUCGGUCAAAGGGUUAUUUAUUAUUACAUUGUAGCCAGCAGCAAAGCAAGUGGAAUUCUUUGUUUACUUGGUGAAGUUCGGGUUCGAGUUAAGCCCGCUGCCCAAAGAGAUGAAUUCCCAUGUACUCUUUCUAACCAAUAAGAGGUAGAAUACCAGAUAAGUACUCUUUCCAACCAAUAAGAAGUAGAAUACCAGAUAAGUAGAUAGUUCUGAAUUCCACUCUUUCACUUAGGACAGCUGAUCUCCGCCUUUAUCCUGUUCCGAGAGACUUUCCUUUGCUUCCCUUUCUUUUGAAUAUGUCUCGAGCGUAUAGAAGAAUGUGACCUAUGAGCUUCCCUUUCUUUUGAAUCUCUGUUAAUUGACAGAUAAGAAUUGACCUAUCUAGAAACUUAUAUUCAUUGGUAUUGUUAUCGGAGAGGAAGAAAGAGCCAGCAAGCACUGUUCCUGCCGCGCAACUGCUACAAAGCGGGGAAACUACCGGGUUUUUCUCUAGCAAUUCCAUCCUUUAUCCAUAUAGUAGUUUAUCCAUAUAGUAGAAUAUCAAUAGUCUAUAUAGUAGAAUCUCAAUAGAAUAUAGGCAGUAGGGGUUUCUCUCAAUUCUAUCCUUUAUCCAUAUAGUGUUUAAUGUCAAUCAUUCCAUUCUAUAGUAAAUCAUUCCAUUCUAUAGUAAAUCAUUCCAUUCUAUAGGCGGAAGUGUUCGUAGCGUGUGAAUUACUAUUGGAGUUGUUGUGAGGGUGCGCGCUUCGGAAGUCCUCUUUCUCUUCUCUUUUUCUGCUUCCGCAUCUUUUUAGCUGUUUUCUUUUUUUUAUGCAGGUAGGGCAGCUGGCGGCAACAUGGAAUACAUGGUUAGCUAGCUCCUCAGGUAGGGCCGGUUGAUAGCUCUGGUUCUGGUCUUGGAGCUCGAGCUCGGCGGAAGGGCUACUAUGCUAAAGCAAGUGAGUCAACUAGUCAUUUCUUUCUCUUAGGUCUGCUCCUAUGGCGCGCCUCCUUUCUUAGGGCUCUUCGCAGUUCACGACGAUUGCUAUGGUUGGUAUCGCGAUGUGUUUGCCUGAUUGUUGUCCUCCAACUUUAUAGCUUAACAAGGCUAGUGGAAACAAUUGAUACUAUAACGACUAUACUCAAAACUCAAUCAUCAAAUAGGACUAGAAGCGCGAUAUGAAUAAAAAUAAGGUAACUCAGCCCUUUAUUUAUUGAUGGCCUAAAUUCAUUGUUUCAAGAGAGCACUAACUUAAUGUAUCCUUUGUCACCCUCCAAUAUUUCUAUAAGAGGUGAAUGAGUCUUUUUCGGGGCUCUUCUGGCUACCCUCUGCUUGCCUUAGCUGAAAGCAUUGACAAACCAACCCUUUAUUCCCAUAUGGAACUGGUUUUGAUUUACCGUGCUCAAGAAAUAGGCGCACACUAAGAACACUUUUGUUGAAUCAAACUCGCCAUCUAUUGACAUCCUAUAUGCGUAUGGUAUAAUUUGACAAUAACUCUUAGUAUGCAUCUCACCCACCACUACCACUUCCUGGAAGCUCGGUUCACUCAUGCUUUGAUAGAGGCCACUUGCUUUGUUUUUAGCUAAGCAACCGAAACACCAUCCUAACUUCUCCAGCAGCCACAUCCACCCUUCGCAAUUUCCUAGGUUCUUAAAUCGAUCUCAUCCUUGAUCAUAAAGGUGUCCAAUCUAAUACAGCCCAAUGUCACUUCUUCCUCUUUUUUCUGUCUUUUACUUUAUAGUCAAUUAGAACACUUGACAAAGUCUUUCUUUUGCAGUUCCCCUACGAAGCACAAGAAUUCACAAUAACCUACCAUUAUCAUGGACCCAUGAAUCAUUUCUAGGUCUAUAGGGUGCGCGAUUGUUCUUAGGCCUUAUCCUCCCUAUACAUUAUUAUUCUCUCUUACUUACAAGGAGGUAUAGAAUCAAGUCUUUGCUGUCCCUUGCCACCUAAUAGAAGAGAAAGAACCAUGCCUAUCACCUUAUCCGGGCACGGAGGGAAGAUAGACAGAGGCAUAGGGAGACAGAUACAUACUACGUAAAUGGAGUUGCCUAAGCUAAGUAGUUCUUUAUUCCUUAGAGAGAGAUCGGGGAGGAAAGAGAGAUGAUAUUAGGUAGUAGGAAAGAGAUAUGAUGAUAUUAGGUAGUAGGAAAGAGAUAUGAGAUUUUUGAGUCUAUUAUAGGGGUCCAUCAUCCUUAAAGAACAGUCAGGGAAGGAAUAGAGUAAGGCCUUUUCUAUAUCUCUCUAUCUACUUUUUGAGGAAUAGCCAUUUGUAGUGUCUUCUAUACUAAGUAGAGCCUCUGCAUUCUCUUACCAUUACCUGCUCAAGUCAUCUUCCUACUAACUAAGAAAACUCAGAAGGGAGAGAUUGCUUUCAAACAUAGCAACUAAGGCUUUCAGCACCUUACAAGCAGCCUGGUUCACCCAUUAUAUGCGACCUAUGUAUCUAUUUAUUGCUGCCUUUGCUUCCCGCGGCUUCAUUGACUAUUGCUCUGCUGCCAUCCCUGCUAUUCCUUACCUUAUAAGGACUCAAUCCAAAACUAGGUAAAUUGUAGGACUCAAUCAAACUAGGUAAAGUG